GGUGAACAAAUUGAGCAAGUUCUUGAGUUCUAAAGUGAGCCCAUAGCCAACAUAAUCAACCCAAGCGAGAAGCUAUAUGAAGAAGGUCCUCUCUCCACGAACCAAGCAAAAGCAGAUGGUUUCAAACAAGCCACAAUGCCACCAACAGUCACAUACAAAGGGUACAAGCUAGCAGCAGUGGAUAACAUGUUCUCCCAUCUGGGUUUUGCUUGAGUGACCAAUAAGAGUUCGGAAUUAUGACUGAGAGAACUGACUAUGAGACGGUAACUGAGUUUUGAUGGUGAAGAAACAAUGGGUUUUGAUGUGUGGGGUUUGAAGGUGAAUCUGAGAUGGGUCUGUUGUAGUUGUGAAAGGAAGAGACUGUGAGUUAAAGUGAAGGACAUGGUGAAGAAGCUGUGUCAAUUUUCUUUGACACAACAAUCAUCUCAGAAAAAGAAAAUAAUAAUAAUAAAACAAAAAAGUAUUUAAGACAAGAGAAUAUUAUUCUGCAACUGUAACACAACAAAAGCAAAAAACAGUAACACAAGAAGCGAAGCGAACUUACAAAAAAAAAAAAAGAACACAGACAAAAACAGUAACAUAUCCAAAUGACACAUAUCCUGGUUCCCUCCACGAACUCAAAUAAUAUCUGGGUACUGAAAAGAUUGCAUACCCAAGAAUUUGCAUGGUGUUUUCUACGUACUUUCCCCAUGAAAACACUAUGAUUCUAAAACCGCCCGCACGAGGAUUUAACCUUGAAAAGUAAAAGUCAACUAGGAAAAAUGAGAGUCUUUCUAAUAUUUUAAUACCCCACUUAUGAAACCAAAUGAAAAUUCAAAUCAAGCAGCUACUUUAAUCUACCAUAUCUAUGUAUUAAAUAUAUUAAAAACGCAUUAAUUUAAUUUUUAAUAUUUAUAUUUUAUGUCAAUUUAAUUAGUUUGUGUUAAAUUUUUUUUUUAAAAUUGAAUGGUUUUUAAUAGAAAUUAUAUUGACUAAAAUAUUAAUUUUUUUGAAUGAUAUUGGUGAUAUUAUUUAUGUGGUAGUCCACGUAUAUUUUAUGCUAACACGAGCAUGACACUAUUUGUUAUACAUGACAUGUCAACAAAAUCGAAAAAUUGUAAAAUAUAUAAAAAGUUAAUAAAAAUUUAAAAAAAAAUCAUGUUUAAAAGUAUAACGGUUUAGUAAGUAUUCCCGUUAAAACACUAAUUUUACUAUAUUUAAAAGGUUGAUGAUUAACUUCAACUCCUUUUGAAAAAUUAAAUUUAACUAAAUAAAAAUAAAAACCAAAUUUUAAAAAAUUGUAAAUAUUAAAAUCUAAAUUAACAUUAUCCCCGAAGUUAUAUAACUCACACGAGCCUGUAAGUACAAACAUCCUAGAUAAAAACAAACCCAAAGAAACAUGACAACCAAAGCAGAUUGAAAAAAAAAUACCAACAAGACUUUGGUGCAGCCAUAAACCCUAUGUUAAACCCUGAAUAUAUAGAGAAAACUAAAAAAACUGACUACAAAAACAACUUCAAGAAGCAUGUCCAAGGUCUAGCACACCAGUGGAAACAGAUUUGGGUUUCCAAACCCUAUCCUGUAGCUUGGUUUUUAAGUGAGCGGUGCCAAAGUCAAGUCCAAGCUAAGGCCUUGAUGAUGAUUAAUACUAAUAACGUUGCAGCAUGCUUCUCCAGCGGCAUGUUCACCGCUAGUGCCACUACCAUAGGCGGCCAUUGCACCACCUCCCUCUGCGAUACCAAACAAGUUGAUUUCAGUAGCUUCAGCUUCAGUUUCAGUUGCACUUCCACCAUUCCCGUGCUGGUUGCUGGCAGCAGCUGGUUGCUUCUCCACUUCAACCCUAAAGUGGGAAUUAGAAGAACCACCUUGAUGUUGCACUUUGUAAAUGGUGAUUCUAUCACCAAUUCUAAGUUCAUUAUGAACAACAAAUUUUCUCCAUCCAUGGGAGAAAACAGGUUUCUUGUACCCUUGUUUACGGACAGUACAGACAAUUGGCCAAACCCUUGUGUUGCACCUAAGAUGUAUUCUGACGGCAUGACUUCCAUUAAAACUUGGCAAGGAAGACAGGGUUUCUGUCGGAAUGGCCAACCUCUUCUUGAUAUCAGUAUCUGUGAGUUUCUUAGAGAAUAAAUUUAUGAUUUGAGAGGCCAUGCUGGAACUGGCUGCUGGUGGGUAUUAUAUGACUACAUGUUUUGAAAUCCGCCUUGGCAUUUAUACAGAGACAAGGUUUCCCUUCACGGAGGUUCCAGAUAUGGAAACUGCGUCACAUUGUCAAAAGGAAACCAUUUCUUUAUGAGGUUGGCCAAUAGUAUUCCAACACCAUGGCGUUGGACCAUAUUAGGAUUUUGAUGUGGACCUUUUCCAGUUCCCCAGCAGUCGCCUUUACUGAAAAAGGUAAAAAAACAAAAACCCCUAAUCAAGCCAAAUUUGCUUUAAAUAAAAGUCUUAGUACUAAAAUUAUUACUAUGCUCUUUAUACAUAAAACACCAAAAUAAGCUUCCACAUAGUAUACGAAAGGGUUAUUUUUCUCCUUCAUUCAACGCAUAAUCAUCAAUUUAUCUAUUUUUUUCAAUGAAAAAUAUAGUACAGUGAUUGAUGUGAUGCAUGUCUUCAGCACUGAUGAAUGAGCUGAGAAGAGGGCUAAUUGUUUGGUCAAAAAGAAAAGAACCUUUAGACAAUUUGUUGAACUCGUAAAUAGUAGCUAGUCAAAAUAUUUGUAUUUGUUUGAAGUUUGGGGAUUUUCAAUGUAAUUUGCUUCAAAUAUUCAACCAACAUACACGUGUGGGAAUAGAUGUUUGGAAUUGGAUUUACAUGCCUGCCACCCACAGAUUCAACAAUCAAAAUCCUACUAGUGAUUAAAUCGAUUAGGCUAUUAAGUUGUUAAAGCAUUCAGUUGAAUAAAAUAACAUUGAAUAUUUAUAAAAGAAAUUUAAAAACUUGAUUUAGUCGUUCGAGUUCAAUUUGUUUUCUCAAUUCAUUUGGCUUGUACUAGUUCUCGAGUCAAUCAGUUCAAUACCCAUCUCUAAACUUGUACUCCAACCAAUUUCCAGUCCAACCGGUACUACUAACAGGUUAAGUCCGAAUCAAACAAAACAUUGGUUUGGGAUGAUGUGGUUUAUUGGAUGGUUAUACCAAGUUAGGGCUGAGACUGUUAAUCAAUAUUUAAUCUGAUAGUUGAAUUUUUUUGUCUCAAUUCAGUAUUUGAAUUUGGCUUCAAUAUUCACUUUAACACUUGAUCUUCUUUUUCUUUUUUUUUCCUAUUUGACACUCAGAGGUUUUUAUUGUCCCAAUUUGGCACAUUGAGUACAGACAGUACAGACAAUUGGCCAAAUCCUUGUGUUGCACCUAAGAUGUAUUCUGACGGCAUGACUUCCAUUAAAACUUGGCAAGGAAGACAGGGUUUCUGUCGGAAUGGCCAACCUCUUCUUGAUAUCAGUAUCUGUGAGUUUCUUAGAGAAUAAAUUUAUGAUUUGAGAGGCCAUGCUGGAACUGGCUGCUGGUGGGUAUUAUAUGACUACAUGUUUUGAAAUCCGCCUUGGCAUUUAUACAGAGACAAGGUUUCCCAUCACGGAGGUUCCAGAUAUGGAAACUGCGUCACAUUGUCAAAAGGCAACCAUUUCUUUAUGAGGUUGGCCAAUAGUAUUCCAACACCAUGGCGUUGGACCAUAUUAGGAUUUAGAUGUUGACCUUUUCCAGUGCCCCAGCAGUCUCCUUUACUGAAAAAGGUCAAAAACAAAAACCCCUAAUCAAGCCAACGUGCAUUAUUCCAAAAAAAAAAAAAACCUAAACAAGACGACGUGCAUUAUUCCUCUGUUGCAAGCCGAUUUGUGGCAAACAAUUUGGAAGUUUUGACCGUUAGUCCCUUUGAAAUGCCAAAACCCCUUCUUCUUUUUUUUUGUAAAAGUACCAAAUCAAAAUCAUGGGGUGUGAUACACGUUGAUUUUUCGCAAUCAUUGCUUUCUAAAAGUAGACAUAAACAUAUAGCUUUCUUCCACAUGUUUUUUUGUUUUCUUCUGAAAGAAUGAAUCGUGUAUUAAGUACUCAUAUUUAACUGAAUAGAUAUGCUUAUAUUCAUCUUUGGUUUUGGCUUAAGCCGCCGUGAUGGUGGUAGGUGGUAGGUGGGAGGGUGCAAAUAUGUUACAAGUAAUCGCAACUUAUUCGUGGUUGAAUUGAAAAAAAAUCAAAUUUAAUUUAGUAAUUAUCGAGUUAAAUAUAAGUACUUAAUACACGAUUCGGUUGGUUCGUGACUCUAAUUGUGUUUGUCUAUUUUAGUAUAUUUCUAUAUUAUUAAUUUACACUUUUAUUCUUAUUAAUUGAGUUCAAGUUCAAAUUUAAAUUUUAAAAUUUGAUAAAUUAAUUUAAUCAAACUUUAAUUUAAAUAAUUUGAUUAUGUUAAAAAUCGAUAAAUUAACUUAAAAAUUAAUGUUUGAAUUGGACGAAAAUCAAACUCUAAAUUUUGAGUUGAACUUCAACUCAAACUUAUCACUACUCAAGUUCAACCCCGCUUGAAUUACUAAAUUUAAGAGUAAAUUUGCUUUAAAUAAAAAAAAUAGAACUAAAUUAAAUAAAAAUAUAAAAGUCAAGUACUAAAAUUAUGACUAUGCUCUUUAUACAUAAAACACCAAAAUAAGCUUCCACAGAAAAAAAAAAGUAUAGUACAGUGAUUGGUGUGAUGCAUGUAUUCAGCACUGACUGAGCUGAGAGGAGAGCUAAUUGAUUGGUCAAAAAGAAAAGAACCUUCAGACAAUUUGUUGAACUCGUAAAUACUAGCUAGCGAUAGUCAAAAUAUUUGUAUUUGUUUGAAGUUUGGGGAGUUUGAAUGUAAUUUGCUUCAAAUAUUCAACCAACAUACACGUGUGGGAAUUGAUGUUUGGAAUUGGAUUUACAUGCCUGCCACCCACAGAUUCAACAAUCAAAAUCCUACUAGUGAUUAAAUCGAUUAGGCUAUUAAGUUGUUAAAUCAUUCGGUUCAAUGAAAUAACAUUGAUAUUUAUAAAAGAAAUUUAAAAUUUUGAUUGAGUUGUCCGAGUUCAAUUUUUUUUCUCAAUUCAUUUGGCUUGUACUAGUUUUCGAGUCAAUCAAUUCAAUGCCCAUCUCCAAACUUGUACUCCAACUGAUUUCCAGUCCAACCGGUACUACUGACAGGUCUAGUCCGAAUCAAACAACAUUGGUUUGGGAUGAUAUGGUUUAUUGGAUGGUUGUACCAAGUUAGGGCUGAGACUGUUAAUCAAUAUUCAAUUUGAUACUUGAAUUUUUUGUCUCAAUUCAGUAUCUGAAUUUGGCUUCAAUAUUCACUUUAACACUUGAUCUUCUUCUUUUUUCCUAUUUGACACAUUGAGUUUGACUUAAACAUUCUAUUUGGCAUUUUAUUUUUUUCUUUAUCUCAAUUAAGUACAUAUAUUUUUUACUAGGCACGUGUGUCAUUCAUUGGAACAUAUGUUUUAGGGUACCAAAUUAAAUCUUAAAGCUAAACUUGAAUAUCAAAUUGACCUUAAAGCCAAACUUAAGUAUCAAAUAGUGCAUUAAAAUAAUUUUUAAAUAAAUCCCUCUAAAAAUUUUAAAGUAUAAUUUUUCUUCAUGUAUUGAAAGCCAUAUCAUGUGAAUAAGAAAGCCAUUUAGAUUGACAAGUGGCCAAUUACGUGAAUGUUUGAAAUUAAAAUUUGAGAUAAUAUAAUUUUUGGACCUUGAAUUAGGUAAUUAUGUUCAUUUUGGUAUUUAUGUCUUUUGUUCACUUUAGCAUUUGAAUUUGACAACUAGAUUCAUUUUAAUCAUUAAACUUGGAUUCUAUCAAGAUUUGAUAAUUUGAUUGAUGUUCUUGGAACAUGACUUAAUUGACAAGUGGCCAAUUACGUGAAUGUUGAAAUUAAAAUUUGAGAUAAUAUAAUUUUUGAACCUUGAAUUAGGUAAUUAUGUUCAUUUCGAUAUUUAUAUGUCUUUUGUUCACUUUAGUAUUUGAAUUUGACAACUAGAUUCAUUUUAAUCAUUGAACUUGGAUUCUAUCAAGAUUUGAUAAUUUGAUUGAUGUUCUUGGAACAUGACUUAAUUGGCAUGUCAAAACACUUGGACAAAGAACCAAUCGAUAUACUAGUCAAAACAAAAGGCUCAAAUCAAUUGAUUUGAAAACUACUCGAAACCGAUAAAAAAUAGUAUACAAACCAAUAAUUGAAUAGGUUUAACAAUUUUUUUUAUUUUUUAUGAUUUUUAAUUAUUUAUUGAUUAUUAUUGGUUUAACCAUUUAACUGAUAAAACCAAUUGGAUCCAGAUCCAGUAGUCUGAUCGAUUUAACCACUAGUCCGAUUAUUAAAAUAUUGUAUGCAACACUCUAAAAUUAUAUUUGUACCAAAUCACCACCUAAAAUUUUAUAUAAACUUUUUUAAUUUUCUAGUGAUGAUGUGGCAUAAUCAUAGAGUAAAAACACUUGAAAAUAUAAAUUAGUAAAAGGUAGCAAGUAGAAUUAUAUCCGCAUAAAUCGGUGAUAAUUUUAUUGUUAAGUAAAAACUAGUAAAGUAAAUAAAAAAGGUUAUGUAAUAAAAAACUAAAACAAAGAGAGUAACAAUUAAAACUUUUUGAAAAAUAAAUGGUGAUAAACUCUAACCAAAGGUAAAAUAUUUGUUUGAUUCAUAGACUCGACCAUCAACGAAGAUGCCCCUAUUGCAUGCAGGGGCCUCGCACUUGGAACACGGGUACCAAAUCUAGUGCAUCGGUUCGAAAAUUGAGGCGAUGAGGUGUUGCCUCGACACAAGUGUGCCGACGAAUAACGGUCCAAUCGUGCAUAAGGGUGUGCUAGUGGUAUUAGGGCACCUUAUCCUGAGCGCAAAGGCGUCAAGCUUAAGUCACUCAAAGACCAGGCUUCAAGGGCACUAGAGCUCGGAGUGGGAAUGCGCGAAUUUAGGCGUUGAGGCAUUGUGCUUGCUGCAGGGGCAUUAGUUGAGGUCCUUGAUUUCAAUGUUCAAUUUUUGUUGCUCGUUUCUUCUAUCGAUAAAUCUCUACCUCCGUAACUCACCAAAUGGUAAGCAUUGAAUAAGUAAUAUUUUACAAAAAUAUUAGCUGGCCCGUGUGGCUCACAUGGCCUCACACAUGCUCUUGUGGCCCAAAUACCCUAGACCGUAUGUCACACACGAUUUAGCACAUAGCCUGUGUCACACGACCAUAUGGUGUCAACAGUGCAGUCUUUUGACAUUUGCCGUUUGUUAUUUUUUCGAGUUUUCUUUACACACCUUACUGAUUUUUGAAACUAACACCACAUCAAGAAUUUCCAAACCUAAAACCAGGAUUUAAAAAACCAAUUUUAGUAACAAAACACUAAUUCCAGGUAACUAAUUCAGCAUUCGACCACUUACCGAACAGAAACGAUAGUUCUCAAAAACCUCUAAUUCGCCAAAAGUAAGUCAUGCAAUUCACAAACCUUAUUAGGAAGUAAAGAAGAGUCUGUUAGUUGUUAGUUGUUGACGGUUAGUUAGGUAAGGGUAGUUACAACUAUAUUUAACUUGCAGUGUAUAUACACAUACUUUGCAUGAUAAAGAUAUAUGGAGAAUUGUGAGAUCAGUUUCUUUUCAGUAUUUCUAUUAUGUUAACAUGGUAUCAAGAGCCGGUUGUUUCUUGCUGAGCUUAUUGUGAAGAGAAAAAAUAAAGAGAGGUACGCUUUGUCCCUUAUGGCUACUAAUGCAGCCGUUGAUACACCCCGUCACUCGUCCAACACCAGAGAGGUUGAACACUCACAAGGUAAUGGUGUUCAUGGUACAACUGCAGUGCACUACUUCUCCAAGCAUGAUACAAUAAAGCUUACGUCGCACAACUUCCUCUUGUGGAAACAUCAACUCCUGUUGAUUCUUGAAGGGUAUGGGCUUGAAGGGUUUGUGCUAGGUACUACUCCCUCUCCUCCCCAGUUUAUUGAUGGUCCUGAUGGACAGUAAAUUGAAAAUCAAGAAUUCAUCGUUCAUCAAAAGCAAGAUAAGUUCCUCACUUCCUGGCUUUUGUCUACUAUUACGGAUGAUAUUUUGGCUCAUCUUACAACUGCUAAAACUAGUUUUGAUUUGUGGACUGCAAUUGAAAGAAAGUUUAGUGCCAAAUCGAACAUAAAAAUCUUAAGCAUGCGUCAUUCUUUAUACUCUCUCAAGAAAUCCAAUCUUUCUGUUAAAGAGUAUAUGUCAAAAGUCAAGCAACUCAGUGAUGAUUUGACUGCUGCUGGUAGCUUUAUAUCUGAACAGGAACAAGUGAGUGUUAUCUUAGCUGGACUUUCUAUCGAAUUUGACUCUAUUAGGGUUCUAGCUACUGCAACUCCAUUAUCUCUUGACUAGUUGAGCGAAUUGUUAAUUGACUGUGAAUCACGUCAGUGAGAGUCGUUAACAGAAACCCCAUGUAAAACAAACCUAGCAACUCAUCAACGAAACAAUGAUGAUACAGGUAAACGAUCUGCAGACUCUACUAGGUAUUCUCAAGACUCUAAGCAAAAUGAUAAAGGACAAGGUCGUGAUUGGUCUCGAGGUCGUUUUCGUGGAAAUGGACGAGGAUGGUCUCGUACGAGGCCACAAUGCCAGUUGUGUGGGAAGAUAGGUCACAUGGUCCAAACGUGUUACCACAGAUUUGAUGAAUCAUUUUCUGGUAGUGCAGGGAUGACACGGUACAAGUUAAUUGUCAUCAGUUGCAUGAUUCUAGUUGUGUGUCUUCUGCUCCUACCUGUCAAGUGGUGUCUCACUGCUGUAACUCAAGUCCUCAGGCUUCCUCCGGUUCUUUUCUCCCUCGGUCUCACCCGUCUUUACAAGAUGAUUCUAUAUGUUAUCCCAACUCUGGAGCGACAAACCAUAUAACACCGAAUGUGUCCAAUCUUGCGGCUCCCUCUUCUUAUACAGGUAAGAGUUGUGUCACUAUGAGUAAUGGUGAUUCGGUGCCUAUUGCUCAUAUCGGCUCAACCACUUUCUCAACUGGGGCCCGACUUGUAAAGCUUCAGAAUGUGCUGCAUGUUCCUGCAGUAUGCAAGAAUUUGAUGUCUGUGGGUCAGUUUGCUAAAGAUAACAAUGUUUAUUUUAAAUUUUACCCAGUUCUAUGUUUUGUGAAGGACAUACAGACAGGGAAGACACUGCUCGAGGGCUGCAUGCAUGAUGGCCUCUACAGGUUUCAGUUCACAACGCCUUCUCCAACGGCAGUUGCUAGAGUUCCAGAGUCAAAUUUCACUGUAUUGAACACUGCUAACACUGCUCAGUUUUCACCUUCUUCCUUGUGGCAUGACAGACUAGGUCACCCAUGCACUGAAGUUCUUACUCGAGUUUUGAAAACUUGUAAUAUUCCUGUUAAACAAAAUUGUGUACAACAAGUGUGUACAACUUGCCAACUCGGUAAAGCUCAUAAACUUCCAUUUACAGCAUCUAAAAAACUGUAUUUCUCUCCUUUUGAACUCAUAGUUUCUGAUGUAUGGGGUCCUGCAUGGUUACCUUCAAAUGGAUUCCCUUACUAUGUUUCGUUUGUGGACAUGUAUAGCAGAUAUACUUGGGUGUAUUUUCUUCAAAACAAAUCUGAAGUGGCUUGGUGUUUUCGGGAUUUUUAUCAGCUGGUCAAAGUGUAAUUUGGUAGCUCCAUUAAAAUGCUACAAACCGAUUGUGGUGGUGAGUAUCGAGUUUUAGCUCAUGAGUUGUCCUCCCUUGGUGUCCAACACAGGAUCUCAUGCCUUUAUACUUCAGAACAAAACGGGGCUGCUGAAAGAAAACACCGGCAGCUUGUUGACAUGGGCUUGUCUCUCUUAGCUCAUGCAAGUCUACCUUUGAAGUUCUGGGUCUAUGCUAUUAUGCAUGUUGUUCACUUAACUAAUAGACUACCCACUCCGGUCCUAGGACAGUCUAGUCCCUAUGAGGUCCUCCACAAAGUAAAACCGAGUUAUGAGCUUCAAAGAGUAUUUGGAUGUGCAUGCUUCCUAAAUCUUAGGCCAUUUCAGCACCACAAGCUGAGUUUUCGAUCUCAACAGUGUGUAUUCCUUGGCAGUGCUCCUAAUACCAAAGGCUAUCGGUGUCUCGCAGAGUAUGGCAGCAUGUUUUUAUCCCGGCAUGUCAUUUUUGAUGAAAAAAUUUUUCCUUCAAAGAUGGGUUCCAAACUACGGUCGUAUCUCAAGGAUCACACACGGUGCCUCAUCGGUCUGUUCUUCCAGUAGUUUCGACUGGUAGUUCGCAUGUCCCUGCUAUAGCACGAGCAUCUACUAGCCCAUCUACCAUAGGUACCUCUCCUAUCUUAGGUAUCUCUCCUGGGCAGUCAACACAAUCAUGUAGUAUCUCCUGUUUCUACUAGUGGGCAGUCGUCUCAUGAGCAAUCCUUAUCUUGAGUUUCUCCUAGUCCAUUAGCAGCAGGCCUUGGAACUAUUGAUCUACCUGAUCGUCCUGGUUUCUCUCAGUCACCACCCACUCAAGUCAAUCAUCAUUCUAUGCAGACACGUUCUAAAAGUGGGUUUUUCGACCCAAAGUGCUUGCAUCAGCUUGGAUGAAGUUGAACCUACUACCAUUCAUGAAGCUUUUCAGAGUACAGCCUGGACUACAACAGCCAAGGAAGAAUACAAUGCCUUGAUUUCCAAUCACACCUGGGAUCUAGUUGGUUUACUAGAGGGUCGACAGGCAGUUGGCUGUAAAUGGCUCUUCCGUAUUAAGAGGCAUGUUGACGAUUCCAUUGCUAGAUACAAGGGCAAACUCAUGGUCAAAGGGUAGCUACAGGAAGCAGGCAUUGACUUUCAUGAAACUUUCAGUCCCGUUGUAAAACCUACCACGAUUAGAGUCGUCCUUGCUCUGGCCAUUUCUCACCAGUGGUCUCUUCAACAAGUUGACAUAAACAAUGCCUUUCUAAAUGGGGACUUGAGUGAGGAAAUCUAUAUGUCCCAGCCACCAGGUUUCGAAUAGUAUGGCUUACAUGGAGAGCCCCUUGUAUGCAAGCUAAAGAAGGCUCUCUAUGGUCUUAAACAGGCUCCACGAGCUUGGUUUCAAAAACUAAGGGACUUUUUGGUAGUCAUGGGGUUCAACGCUUCCAAAGCUGAUAGCUCACUCUUCAUCCGACAACAAGAGGAUACAUUGAUGUACGUUUUAGUGUAUGUUGAUGACAUUAUCGUUACAGGUAGUGACUCACAGGAAAUUGAUCGGUUUGUCAAGACACUCGAUGCUAAGUUUGCAUUGAAGGAUCUUGGACAGUUGAGCUACUUCCUUGGUAUUGAAGUCCAGUACACAUUAAAUGGGAUAGUUCCUUCUUAAGCCAAAUACAUCAGAGACUUACUUUACAAAGCAUCUAUGGACAGAUCAAACGCUAUCCCAACACCGAUGGUCACCACUAAUCGCCUAUCUGCUGAUGAAGGCAGCCCCCUUAAAGAUGAACAUCAAUAUCGAAGUAUAGUAGGUGCCUUAUAAUAUGUCGUGAUCACCAGGUCUGACAUUGCCUAUUCCGUAAACAAGGUGUGUCAAUACAUGCAUAAGCCACUAACUGUUCACUUCAAAGUAGUCAAGAGGAUAUUGCGUUAUUUACAAUGCACACUGAGCUACGGAUUACAAUUUACUCGAGCUUCAAAAUUCUCCCUUGAAGGUUAUUCUGAUGCUAGUUAGGGGUCGGACAUUGACGAUCGCAGAUCCACCUCUGGGUAUUGUAUCUUUCUUGGAGGCAAUCCGUUCUCUUGGAGUUCGAAAAAACAACAUGUGGUAUCUCGUUCCACAGCAGAGGCGGAGUACAGGAGUGUUGCACAUGUGACCGCUGAAAUAACGUGGAUUCAAUCCUUGUUAACUGAAUUGUGUGUUCCAAACUUACCAAAGGCGCUGAUUUGGUGUGAUAGCUCAGCUGCGAUAGCAGUCGUAAGAAAUCUAGUCAUGCACUCCAAAUUUAAGCAUGUGGAGUUGGACAUUUUCUUUGUCAGAGAGAAGGUGGCCGCUGGAGUUAUUCAAGUUGGUCAUGUCCCAAGCACUCAUCAGCUAGCAGACAUACUAACAAAGCCUCUGUCAGCUUCAGGGUUUAAUCGAUUUCGGGAUUUACUUCGAGUUGUUAACGUGAACUAGGAGGUGUUAGCAAGGGAACAGAUAAGUAUGGGGUAUAUUAGGAAGUAAAGAAGAGUCUGUUAGUUGUUAGUUGUUGAUGGUUAGUUAGGUAAGGGUAAUUACAACUAUAUUUGAUUUGCAGUGUAUAUAUACGUACUUUGCAUGAGAAAGAUAUAUGGAGAAUUGUGAGAUUAGUUUCUUUUCAGUAUUUCUGUUAUGUUAACAAACCUUGCCUGACAGAUUCCCACACCAAAGAGAGUCAUCAAAACGCAAGUACCACUGACUAAAAAUUUCUCAAAUCAAAUACCCAAGAACCACCUUCCUGAAAUAAACAACCACCACACUUACCCAAAGAAGUAACUGAGAUUCGAUAACGUACGAAUGGAAUAACACAAGAGGCAAUCGUAUGGCAAAACGAGAAAGAAAAACAACAAAACUUCUAAAGCAUAAAGAAUGAAAAAUUCAGAAAGAGAGCAUGAAAAAGAGGAGAGAAAAAAAUAAAUAAUUAAAAUGAAUAGUGUAGCAAGAAGUGUACGGCAGAAUGUGGAGGACUUUGGGGAAAAAAGUUUAGAAUUUCAAAAAUAAAAAUUCUUAAAAACUAACUACUUCCCCACUAAUCUCAAUAUCAUAUACCUUAUCCUUAUUAGAUUUUUCCCAGAAUUUAAAAUAAUUUUUUUUUAAUUUGCACACAUGAGGAUUCAAAUACAAAACCUAAAGCUAAGCUGAAGCUUUAUCACUGAACCGACAUACUCACUCUUGUCAUUAGCUGAACAAAAAUAACAUAAAACUUUAAUAUCAAAGGCAAAAGGUUGGACAAAAAUUAACAAAAAUGCAAGAGAAAGAGUUUAAACCCAAAACCUGCCACACAAAAGCACAACAUUUAACCAUUAAACCAGAUAAACUCAUUUUGCAUAAUCUUUACAAUUUUAAGUUAAAAUCAAAACAUAACCACUCUUAAUUUCAUUAAUUCAAUUUCUUCCAACCCGAUUUCCACACACAUAAACUCGUAAUAUACUUUAAACACCUAAUGAUGUUCGAUCAUAGAGAUGUAGACUUAAAUCAACAUGUGGCACAUAUUAAGCUGAGGGAUUAGAGUAAAAUUUUAAUUUUCUAAAGGGUGAAAGUAAAAAAAUUAUCUAAAAAUUUGAAAAUUAUGCUAUUUCUCACAACUUCCGGCAUUAAAAAUGAGCUAUGUAUUUUAUUACAUACAUAUAAGCAAAACAUAUCUAUUUGAAUAUUAAGACUCUGAUUCUCUUCUUAAGUAGUUAAUUACUAAAAAAAAUAAAAAAGACGUUCACUUCCUAAUUGUUUGUUGGGUAUGUUUAAUGUAUUAGGUUAAUUAAGCAGGUGAUGAUCACGUUUUGAAUUGAGUUUUAAUUUAAUUGAUAUUGUUAUUAUUGUAAUAAUAAGAAAAAUAUAGAUUUGAGUGUACUUAAGUGUGUUCUUUCCUUCAAUUUAAAAGUGGGGAAAGUUAUGACUAGAAUCAGGCCAAUGUCGACAAUGUUUGCAUAGGAGUUAAAUUUUUUGAGCCCCCAUUCAAAUACAACUUAUUUGGUAAAAUAAUUUUAAUAUUAAAUUUGAACUAAAUAAUAUUCUAAAAAAUAAAAUUACAAUAAGGAUGAAGUAAGAAAUUAUUGGAAUGUUAAUGAUGUGAGGAUGAGUCCUCUUUCAAGGUGUUGGAAUAUGUUGCUUUCAAUUAGUAUAGCUGUUAAAAUCCUACUAGUGAUUAAAUCGAUUAGGCCAGGAAAAAUAAUUAUUUUUAAUAUGGAAUAUGUUCUUGGUUAUUUUAAUGGACGAUUCUUUCGAAGUUUCGAAAGUGGGUUUGGUAAAGCAAUGAAGUUUAGUUUAUUUUAUUUGGAAGGAUGGGAACGGAGAGAAUGGGGUGUUGAGGUCUUAGAAGAAAAAAAAUUUUAAGCAAAUAAAGGUGAGAUCCUUUAAUUGAUGAGCCAAGAAUUGCUCGACUGGGGAUUAAGAAUAAAAGGAGGGUUUGGAAGUGAAGGAACUUGGCAAAAAAGAAGAAGAAAAAAACUGGGUUUACGAGUGAUUGAUAAUGAUGAAGAAGUGAUAAAGGAGCUGGCGCAAAUUAGAGGGAGAAGACUUAAUAUAGAUUGUUAAGGUACUCUUCUUCUUCUUCUUUUUUCUAUUUUGCUUGGUUAUUGUCUUAACUUUUAAUUGCAAUUGCUUCUCAAUGGAAAAUCUUUUUGAAUUAUGAGAGGAGAACAACGUGGGUUAAUGUAACUCGAAUCCAUAUCACAUCUAGAUGGGAAAAUAUCCUCAUUAUUAAGUCAACAUAUAGGUUCAUAGGACAACGGGAUUAAUGCAACUCAAACCCAUAUCACAUCUGGAUGGGACCUCAUUAUUAGGCCAACAUACAGAUUCAAUGGAUUUUCUUUUUAAAGUUAUUGAGGUGAGUUGUGUUGUUAUAUUAAUGUUUUGAUUUUCUAGUUGUUGCAAGAGGGUUGUGUUUUGUAAUGGUAUCCUUACAAGGGUUCUAAAGGUUGUUUGGCUUUUGUUAUUGUAUUGUUGGUUAGUGUCAUCGUUGUUUUCUAGUGCUUCUAAGUGAAUGAAUUUAUGAUGAUUGCCUUCGUUCAUAAAAUACUUUUAAAAAAAAGGAAAAUAAAAGAAAAGGGUUAUCAUGGUAAGAUAGUCUUCGUAUUUAAGAUGCAUACAUCCAAAACGUAUAGGGUGCAUCUAAAGUAAUCAGAGUCAUCAUGAUCAGAUAUUCUUUGUAUUUAAAAUAUUCAUAGUGAGAGUCACUUUACCUAUUUUUAUAUUUAAGAUAACAGAUAAGAACUAUGGUUUAAAUUUGCGUUAAAUAAAUAUUUGACAAAUUAAAAACUAUAAAUAUCAUUUUAUUUAAAUCAAAACAUUCAAAUAUUUGAACCCCAUGUGAUGACCUGGUGAUCUAGGGUGUUCAUUAUCUUAGGUGUGACCUGAAUUUAAGUUGCGCUAGUCGCGCUAAUUGUUCAGACUUUACCUUAUUACUAUAAUUCACCCAAAAAAAAUCACUCACACACUUCAUUUAUUUCUUAAUAUCUCAAUAAAUUAAUUACACAAUCACAAAAUUUGCAAUACAAGAUAUCACAUACAGUAAUAUUUAAUUCUCUUUUUUCAUAGUUUAAUUGCUUAGUCAUGAACUUAAACUUGAUUAUGCAUGCAUAUUGGAAUAACAUGACUUUUUUUCACAAAAUGAAUAUUAUAUUUGAAUCCCCAACAAACCAUAUAUACAACGAUGUUUCAUAUAAUUUUAAAAAUAUAUAGGGUUAAAUCAAUAUUUAGAGUUUCAAUUUAGUAUCUUUUUCUCACAAUAUUGAAAUUUGAAUUCCUUUUAUUUAAUAUUUAUUCUCGGAUUUAAAUUUUUAUUUUGUUAAAAUUAAACUAAAUUUAAUAAUUAUUCCUAUUUUAAGAAAUUUUCAAUGGCUAACUUUUUCUUUUCACACAUAUUUUAUAGUAAUAAAAAAAUGAUGAUGAUGACACCACUAAUGUCCACCAUCGACAAAGAAAAGAAAAAUAGCAAAUCAAUGGCUUACUUCUUUUCCACCUUGAUUAGAAAAUAUAUGGAAGCUUCACCUUUUCCACAAGCAAUAUUUUUGGAACGAUAAAAUUUAUUAAAAUUUUAAAAAUAUUAAAAAAUAUUUUAAUCGAUUUGUAUCAAUUUUUUAUUUAAUUAAAUUAACAUUAUUGUUUGAACUAAUAUUCCAGUGAAUCCACACAACAAUAUUACUUAAUUCAUACAAGUAGGCAACCCAUCCAAGAACUAAGAAUAAAAUUAUGAUUAUGGCCAGAGUUUAUAGCAGUGGUAUCUUAUAUAUGCUCUUCUGCAUAAGCUGCUUUUAGGUGUGUAUUUCUGAAUACAAUAAACGUAUUCAAUUAGAUCCCUUGAAUUUAGUUUUUCAUCGAAACCCUAGACGAGUCAUUAAACCUAACAUGGCAAACACCAAGUACUAACAUAUUCGUAAGAACUUCAAAAAAAUUAUUAUACAAAAUAGAUACGAUAAAAACCCAACCAAGCAUAAAAAAAAUCAAACACCUGAAAACAGUCCAAAACACCUAUAAAACAACCUUCACCAAGACCUAACAGAGAGACCCCUAUACCAUUGGACUAAGAACCUGUGCCAGCAUGCAUAAAACUCGGCGUCGAAUUUGCAGCAACUUGGACGUUGUAAGACCACCCUUCCAUCCGAAAAGAGCACUUGAAUAAAGAGACUCCUACAAAUUAAAAGAUAAUUCCAUUGAAACAACUCACUCGAAACCUUACCAACCAACAGACCUCGUCAGCCCAAAUAGCAAACUGCACCACCUAUCAACAAACCUCCCGAUUAAACGUAAAAUCCAAUCAAAGCAAGCUUCGAUGGCCUGACCAAAAUAAACAAAGAACGCCCCAAGCUCCAACCCAUGAAACAAUGGCAUGCCCAUUAAAUCUGGACUCCAUCAACUUCUGACUCAUCCAUCUGCCAAGUCAAUUCCCCUUCUUCAGCUCAAUCAUCCAUAGCCAAAUCAAAUUGCUUCCUCAUAAUCCAAGUCAUAGUUACUUCUUCAACUCCCCUCAAUAUCACGCAAAUCUACUUCUGAAUCACAAAUAGAUUGAAUUUUCAUCAAAUGGCUAAUAAUUUCUCCCCCCUGGCCCUACUUGCUUCCUUAAGUUCCAAGUAGCAAUUACUUCUUCUAAAGGUUCAAAAUCAACACUCCUUGAUAAUUAAGUUGUUUCUAUUUCUAUUUCUAUAAUCAAUGGAGCAAUUCACUAUCUUGUCAUCCCUGUUUCCUUUUUGAUGACUUCCUUCCCCUCUUAUUCUUCGCUUUUUUUGUAAUUCUUUUGCUUCCCUUUAUCAUCAAGAGCUCGAAACAUUACCAUUGGAUCGAUUUCUGCUACUCGCACCUCUAAACAUGUAUCACCAACUUGCAAAUUGAUAAUUUCAUCAAUUCUUUGCAACUGUUCCAUAAUAAUUUUAGUACUUCCUGUAAAUAAUGAGAUCCCAUUUUCAGUAUCGUUGUCUACUCUAAGGAACUUCCCCCAGUGGCACGCAUUGCUUUGGAAGGUCCCUUUACUCCCAAUUUGAGUCUUCGAAAGAUUGAAACAAGUCAUUGUCCUUGAACAAAAUCAAGAUCAAACGUCCAGAAAGCUUAAAAAUAUUCACCCCAUCAAUUCCCUCUGACAGAAGUUUUCUUUAAAGAAUACGAGGACGACCCAUCUUCAAUCCAAGCAAUAGCACAGUGUUCCAGCCAACUAAGUUUAUUCGUAUCAACCACACCUUGCACAACAACCCGUUUUAAUGGUAUCAUGCUCCAUAACUCUUAUUUCUUCAGAAGCAGAUGUCGGCUCACCUUCUCAUCAGGCCUAGCCUCGAUAUGAGUUUAAUUUUUGUUCUACACACCCUUCUCCAAAAGGUGUUCCUAACUCGAAACCUUGCCCUAUUAAUUUCAACCCGAAAUCCAUAGAUUCUAAAACUGUUUAAUCUCUCUAUCGCCCUUUCUGCAUCAGUCACGCAUUCAGUGCAGUCUUUGCGGCAAGUUGUUAACAAAGAUCGUCGGACACUUGAGAUUCCCCUCCACCGGCGAAUGGUUAUUCGAAAAUUUUCGUUUAAGUAGUAUUAUGCUAUUUUAAAUAUUCUUAUGCUUAACUUUUUUGUCCAUUUUACAAUCUAUAUUUAAGGUUUGUUAUUACAUUAUUUCACUGUGUAUUAAUGAAAAUUUUUCACACUUAUUUCUUUUCUCAUUCAAAAUUAUUAUUAUUAUUAGAAGUCACUUAUAGUUAAAUUAAUCUUUCUGUUAAAAUUUCAUCAAUUUCUAUUAUUAAAAAUUUAUUUUUAUAUGUCAAAAUGAGGUACACCGGACAUACCAUGUGCCACUGUUUAAUAUUUGUUAGCUAUGAUAGUUUUAAUAAUAGAAAUGGAUGAAUUUUUUAAGAAACAAGAUCAAUUUACUCUUUAAUCUAAUAUAUUGGAACUAAUUUACUUGUUUUUAAAUAAAGUGAUCAAAUAUAAUCGAAUUUGUAGGACGAAGAUAUCUAUAAUAAUUUUACAAGAAACUGAGUGAAAGGUACAAGAAGCAAAAGCCAACACCUAAAAUCACCCAGAACUUAACAAUAAUCAUCUAAGAACAACUCCAAAAGACACCAAGAAACAGCAAUAAAUACAACUCUAACACCAGCAACCAAUUCCACACCACAAGAAUAAAAAACCUAACAACCCCAUAUUAUCAGUCUCCACACAACCAGAAAAUAACAAACACCCUUAGUAAUAAGCAAACCCAAUCACACAAUCACCAAAGCAAAAGUAUAAGCUAGAAAAGUUUAUUAUACCUAUGUAUUUUCUGCUAUAUAGGUGGGGAGGGGUGAAAGUAUAAAGGUGGGUGCUUGAGGAUUUGGAGAAAGGGAGAGUAAAAACUAGAAGAAAAUUUGGUUACCUAUGUACGAAAAUCAUUUGAUACAUAGAGUUUUUUACACUUUACAAGCGGAUUAAUACGCAGAUAUAUUAAAUAAUUACCCAUAUACAGCAAAAUAUGUAGGCAGCUGAAGAAAUUAUAAAGAACUGAGAGAUUAAAGAUGAAACAUUAAACAUAGAAGACACAGAUACUUAGUUCCAUAUUAUAUUGUUGAAAAGGUCGACGAACUGGCAGUGAAGGAUGCGUUUAUGGAUAAGGAGAUGAAGAAGCUUUUCCUCUCUAUAUCUAAUUAAAACACCAUAUAGCUAGCAAACCAAUCAUCCCAGAAAAAUAUUUAAAGAAAAAACAGUUAAGUCGUCACUACAUAUUAUUGUGCAAUUAAAAUAUAAUAUAUAAGGUAUGUUAAGCUGAAACAUAUUAUGUAAUCGAGGAAUAAUGUGACAGAACCUAGUCCAGGCUAACUUCACUAGCCUGCAUAUGGAUUGGGUUGUGACAGAACCAAGUCCAAGCUAACACUUUGAUGAUGAGUAAUCAUGUUGCAACAUGCUUCUCCAGCUGCAUCACUAGGCCCACUGCCAUAGGCUAUUGCAUCACCACCCUCGGCGAUACCAAAGAAGUCGGUUUCUCUUUCUGGUUUGGCCAUACAGGGCGAGAGGAGUGAGGGUUCACCCGUGUCAGUACCCUUGGUAAUGCCCAAGCACUUCAUUUCGUCAGUCAUAAUGGCACCAAAUAUCUUAACAGACGGUUUGGCAAUAACAUGACCAUCAACCAAAGUGUCUGUUGCAACAUCUGGAAGCUCCAUGAUGGGGAUACCUCCCUCCAGUUUGAUUGCUCCAUCAUCAAGCGCCUGAUUAGGUAUCCGGUCUGCCUCGUUUCCGGAGUUGGUUCCAUCGACUUCAUGAUCAUUGAAAGUGAGAAAAGAAGAAGAAGAAGAAGGAAGGGUCCUCCUGUCUUGGUUGCUGGCAGCUUCUGGCUUCUCCACUUCAACCCUAAAGUGGGAACCACCAUCUUCAUCUUCAAAAUCUUUGUACAUGGUGAUUUUAUCGCCAGUUUUGAGUUCGUUAUCAACAACAAAUUUUCUCCAUCCACGGGACAAAACAGGUUUCUUGUACCCAUUUUUGCGAACAGUGCAGUCAAUUGGCCAGAUCUCUGUCCCAUACAUUAGCUGAAUCCUGACUGCAUAGCCUGCAUUGAAGGCUGGCAAAGAAGGCAGGAUUUGUCCCGGAAUCGCCAACCGCUUGUUGAUAUCAGUAGUUUUAAGUUUUUUAGAGAACAUCUUUGUGGGCUGAGAGGCCAUGGCUUUCUAGCUGAUUAGUCAUGCCCUUCUACGCAAACCCCUUUUUCUUGCCAUUGUGCAACAAUUUAGCUUUGAAUUAGAUUCUCACAAGGAUAUCGACAUUCAUAGAGAUGUGGCGUCGUGCUUUUAGUAAUGGAAUAAUGAUAACGACUUAUUUUGAGGUUUUAAGAAUUGUUGUUAAAACAUAUAGAAAGGAGGUUGUUUUUCUUUUUGGUUUUUCAAAGUAUCUAUGCGAAUUCGGUAAUUAAUUUUUUGCAUUCUAUAUGUCAAUGGAAAAUAAUUGUGGGAAAUAAUGACGUUACAUCAUUUAUAUUCCUUUUUCAACAGUUUAAUGUCAGCAUCUUCAUCCUGAAAAAAAUCAAAUCCAAAUAAAAUAUCUUAAAAUUCAAGAUGAAAUUAUUGAUGUGGCAUUAAACUAUUGGAAAUAGAUAACAUUCAUCUGUACAAUCCUUUCUCAUAGAGCCAUUAAAGGGAGUUUUGAAACUACUAUGCUUUUUUAGGAAUAUUUACUCACAAAACUAUAGUAUAAAUAUUUUUAAAAAAAUUAUUCUAUUAUUUAAUUAUUUAUUAUUAUAAAUUGAAUUAUUAACGGAAAAAUAAGAAUCUCCCGAAAUGAAAAAAAAAAUAUAUUAAAAAAUUCCAUCUUUAUUCCUUUUUACCGUGGCUUGAUUUCAAGCAUAUAGCAUGGUUGCUGUUGUAGUAUGUUAGUCCAGGCUUGAGUUGGCAUAUGAAAACCAUGAAUUAAACAAAAUUACUGUUUACCAAUUUAGUUCAUGAAACCCAAUCUGGUGGACAAGAACGUGAAAUAUCCAAGUAAUAAAAUACUUGAAAGGGGCCCUAUGGUUGAACAGACGCUUGCCAUUGAUCUGUCCAUGAAUCCACAUAAAGUCAAGUGUUAUAAAAUCCUAAACUCUCAACCCCAAACCCUAAACUCAACCCCUAAAUUGCGAAUUCGGCUCCUGAAUCAUGAAUCCGAACUUCAAAUCAUGACCCUAAACCUUAAAUCCCAGACCCCAAACCCAGACCUUAACUCAUAAACCAUAAACCAUAAACCCCAAACACCAAACAACUUAUUAUAAAAUUUUCAGUUCAACACUCACUAUAUAUGUAAAAAAAACCCCAGGCAGGUCGAAGUCAAAAACAUUAUAGAGGGGCUGAAUAAAAACUCGCCCCUAAGUCAGUUCAGGUUCUAACUUAAUUUUGAGAUUUUUUUUAAAGAUUGGUUUUGGUAUGAAAAUACUGAAUUUAAAUGUAUAAUAUUUCCAUUUUUUAAUGGAUACAAUUUGUUUUAAUGCGUGAUCAAUAGGCAAUAAAGGUAAUGUUCUGAUUCCUUUCUUUAUCAAUAUAAAAAUGUGUGGUUUUUCUUUUUUAGAAGAACUUUAAUCUCGUCAAAAGAUGUCGACAUUCUUUGGUUUGAAUUCUUUGAAUUUGAAUAAUGGAAUUGGUCGAGCCAUUAAGAAGAAUAGAAGGUGUCUAAAAAAUAAAAGAGUCUAAGUCCAAAUUAUUACAAACCCAAAAUAAAAAUCCUAAGCCCAAUUAAUAGGCUCACAACCUAAUUUAAUUCAGAUAGCUACUGUCACCGUCGCUCCUCCCAUGUCAGCGCCGCACCAACUCCUUUGCCACCGCCACUAUCACGUCUCCCACUUGCACUUGCAAAGAUCAAAAAUAGAAGUGACAGUUUAUAAAGUAGAAAAAAAUGUGUAAAAAUAGGCUAUAAAGGCAUUUUGGACCUUUGUAAUCUGGGGGAGAUUUUCUUGAAAUACAAAAAUCGAUUCAAAUAAAACCAACAAAGUUCAAAGGUGAUUUUUAUUUUUUUUGCUUUUUUCAAAAUCUGUUAUUUAAAAAAAACAUAACAAAGGGGAUAAAAGACUCACCGUCCUCCAAAUCAACCUUGGUUCAUCAGAGUUCUCGUCGAGGAAGGUCUCGGACACCCUUCAAAACACGGAAAACCAAAGGAUUUCAUCGUCAUUUUGAACUACGGAGUGUUUUUUCGAGAUCGUUAUCCCUAGAUUCGUGUUCUACACAAAAAAAGGGGGUUUAAAAGAUUCUGGGGCAAUUUGGAUUAAUGGUGUCUUUUACUAUGAACCUUGAAAAAUUAAUUUAUGGACAUGAAAAUACUUAUAUUUUAAAAAAUGAAAUUAGAAAUUAAGGUAUUUUAAAAUGUAUCAUUUCAAAAUAAUCAUAUUUAUGUUGGAAAAAAUAGAUUUUUUUAGAAAUUUUGAGGUAUAUUCUUGAUUAGUAAAUGUAGAGAUUUAAAUCAUAAAAUUAUGGCUUUAUAUUCUACUCCAUGAGACCUUUACAACGAUACAUCAUAUGCUCAAAAUGGUUGAGUGAUGAAUGAGAAAUUGAUGCUCAAAAUAAACUACUUAUGAAUUACAUUAAAAAUAAAUAAAAAAAUUGUCUUAUAUUGAUUAGAUAUAAGUGUGGAAUAUAUUUAUAUAUAUGAACCAAGUUAGCAAUGAUUGAAUGACUAAAUUUUAUUCAAAAGCCUAAUAAAGAGGGAAUUGAAAAGGGCAAAACAAGCCCAAAUCCAGCUAAACAAAAGUGUGUCCUCUAAAAACAUCCUAGUUUUAAAUGUACCGUCUUGUCCUAAAACGGCGGGGGACAGCCGAUUAAUUGUGUAAGCUGUGGGUCCCGUGGUAGCCAUGCAAAACGUCGAGUCCUUAAAAGGUAGAAUAAUCUAUUCAUCAAGAGGCAUAUAAUAUGAUCAAACCUAACAGCAUAUAAAUUUUUUUUAAAAUUAUAAAAUUAUUAAAAUAGUAACUACAGACAAAUUUUCAUAAACCCAAUCGUAUUAUUAGUAUUAAACAUAAUGAAUUUUUUUUAAUUUUUAAUUUUAAAUUUCAAAAUAUAAAUAUAAUUAAAUAAAUUAUAAAAACUUUUUUUUAUCUUUUAAUAAUUUCAACCAAUUAAUUAUAUUUUUUAAAAUUAAAUCUAAAAAGUAUCGCGCUCUUUCUGUCUAACCCUUUUGCUUUCACUUUUGUUUGUUCUCUCUCUAUGGCAAAUUUACACUUGUAAAAGGAAAGACAGAUGGCAGGAUAUCUAUGGAGGAGCGGUGCGCUGCAAGUGGAAUGACCAAAAUGGCGGAUUCAGUCGUACAAGUUGUUUGCUUUGUUUCGAUGGGCAGAAUAUUUACUGAGAGUUGUUUAGCAAAACGAAAGCUAACCAAAAAUUGAGUGAAUAAAAAUAAAUUAUUAAAAUAGUCAUUUUUAUUAAUCUUAAAUUAUAUUUUAGUUAUUUAUGUUUAAAAUGUCACGUUUUAGUAAUUUAUAUUAUCGUCAUUGAGUCGUUAAUUAUCGUUAUCUGUGUAAUAGUAAGCUGAUGUGGCACGUUAAAUUAUUAUUUCAAACAAAAAUUUUAGAUUAAUUUAUACGAUUGAUCCCCAUAUUUUUUUAUUUUGAGUAAUUUAAUUUUUUUCUUUUAUGUUUUUUUAACUUUUUUUUCAUUCUCUUAUGAUUCUCCUUCUAUUUUUCUCCAUUCUCCAUUUCUUUUAACGUAGUUUUUCUAUAUUUUCUAUAUGUUAAAACUAGUCCUUAUACUUUUAUUUUUUUAAAACAAUUUAACUUUUUCGAGUGAGGCGAGCUUAUGGACUAAUUUUAACAAAUGAAAAACAUAAAAAAAAACUACGUCAAAAGAAAUGGAGAAGGGAGAAAAAUAGAGGGAGAAGCAUAAGAGAAUGAAAAAUAAAAAAAGAAAAGUUAAAAGAACAUAAAAGAAAAAAUUAAAUUACUCAAAAUAAAAAAAAAUAAGGACUAAUUGUAGAAUUUGACCUAAAAUUUUUAUUUGAAAUGAUGAUUUAACAUGCCACACCAGUGUACCGUUACACUGUUAAUAAUAAUUAAUGGCUCAGUGAUUAAAAUAUUACAAUAAGAUAAUGUAAGUGACUAAAACAUAACAUUUCAAACAUAAGUGACUAAAAUGUAACCUAAAACAAAUAAAAGUGACUAUUUUAAUAGUUUACCAAUAUUCAAUAUGAUGGUUAGAAAUUUAAUAUUUGUUUAAUUAAAAUAAAAUACCUUAAAAAUUAAAUUACAAGAAUUUUAUUUUUGAGUCAUCAAACUAAGAUUUUUUUAAUUAUAAAAUAUAAGAAUAAAAAUAGUUGAAAAUUAUUUUAUGUUAAUUUAAUUAAUUGAGAUUUAACAAUAAAAUUGAAUUAAUUUUACAACAUUAUUUGUCAAGGAGUGAAAUCCACGUGGACCCUACAUUGACUGAGACAUGGUAUGACAUUACUAAUGAGUCUAAUGACUGAUGAGGAAUUACAAAAUUCAUGCACCUUAAAUGUUGGUGACAAGUUCACCCUGUACCAAGUGCAAGUUGAAGAUGGUUCUUCCUACUAUAUGGUAGAAGUGGGGAGAGAAAUCCACUUCCUUGGCAUAAAUGCAAUGGCCCAUGGCAGUGGCAGUACUGCUGAUGAACAUCUUGGACUUGGUUAUGCGACAAUUCAACUUGUGUUCAUGUUUACCGUACUAAAUUGUUGUGAAUUUUAUUAUGUAUAUCUAAUGUAUCUAUCUUAUAGGGCUCAGGCUCGAGUUGCGGGUCAGUUUCGGGUCCCAGGAAGUAUCAUAAUAAAAUUAAAUUAUUUUUUGGAGCUUAAAUUUAGUGAUUUUUCUCAUAUUGAGGCAUGCAUAUUUUUUUUGUUUAAGUUAAGCCCUUAACUUGUAAUUGUUCCUACAUUGAGGCUUUAACUUUUUUUUAAUUAAAGUUAGGCUUUGAACUUGGCAAACUUUCCCACAUUGGGAUUUGAAUUUUUCUUUGUCAAAGUUAAUCCUUGAAAACCUUAAAAUUCAGGUUCCAAUAUAGGAACAAUUACCAAAUUCAGGACAUAAUUUAGACAAAACAAAAGUUCAAACCCUAAAAUGGGAACAGUUGCUAAGUUUAACGCCUAGCUUAGACAAAAAAAUGUUCAAGUCCCAAUGUGAAAAAAAAUACAAAAUUAAAACAUAAAUAUUGAUUUAACCUAUAUAUACGUGAUAUAUAUUCAUCACGUUGAAUAUUUAUGCAUGCAGUCUAGUCUCUUGCAAUUUUAGCAAUUUGAUAUAUAUUAAUACUCUCUUCUAUAUCACAUAUUUGUUUAAAAUUUUUUGAAAAUAUUUGAUAAGUGAGAAUAAAGGUUAAUUCAUCGCUGCCAUUGCCAUUCUAAUUAAUGCAAAACAUGUUAUUUAGAUUUCCCCUUCGAUGUAAAAUACACACAUCAUUGACUUUGAUGAUUACGUACAUACAUACAUACAAAAUGAUGAAGAAGAAAGAAAGAAAAGGGUGGGUUUCAAUUUUCAAGUUCAACCUCAAUCUUGAUCUUCAGGUUCCUGUUUUGAACCGCACUAAUCUGUCCCCAAAAGAAGCCUAAGCUGCUACAUGUAAGAAAAACAUAAUUAGUUUUUAUAGAAUAGCAUCAUAGACAAAACAAACCAAGCAGACAUCUUAAACAGAACACUUCUAAUAGAUAGGAUUCCCUAACCAAUAUCUCCAACUGUUUCCAAAUUUCUAAAAUAACAUAAUAAUAGAAAUAAAACCAGAAUAUAACAACCAACUGGUUAUGAACACUAACUUUGUCUUAUUGUCUCAAUUGGUUAUCCGCUCUCUCCACAUUAAUUGGGUGGCGCCAAUGUCAAAUCUAACUUCACUUCUCCCACAUAUGGCGGUGGAAUAGUACCGGGUUGUCGCCGAACCAAGUCCAAGCUAAGGUCUUGAUGAUGAUCUGUGAUAAUAUCAGGACAUGCUUCUCCAAUUCCACCAGCAGCACUAGUGCCACUGCCGUAGGUCAUCAGACUGAAAUGAUCAGCUCUUUCGUUACUCAUGUUAGUACCAAACAUCCCGAUGGAUGGCGAUUGCCAAGCAUUGGCAGGCAUGUUCAUCGGUGCAAUAUCAGGCUGGUGGUGUUUUUAGGUACUUCUCUUCUGUACUCGACAGUGGUUUCAUCGGGUUCAUGAUGAAUGAAAGAGGGAGCGGGAGAAUUAGGAAGGGUGCCGUGUUGGUUGCCGGCGGGAGGCUUCUCCACUUCAACCAUAUAGUGGGAAAAGCCAUCUUCAUCUUUGUACAUGGUGAUUCUAUCCCCAACUUUGAGUUCGUUAGCAACAACAAACAUUUUCCAUCCAACGGAGAGAACAGGUUUAAGGUACCCCUUUGUCCGAACAGUGCACUUAACUUCCCAGAUCUUUCCGUCGUACAUGAGCUUAAUUUUGGCUGGAAGGCGUCCAUAUGAAGGUAGGAAGAAAUCCUGGUACUCUUUCGGGACUACCAAUCUCUUCUUGACGUCAGUGUCAGUGAGUUCCUUAAAGAAAAUAAUUCCGGAGUGAGCUGCCAUGGUGGGUAAAGGGAGUGCCGUAUGAUACAAUGGAAGGGCCAAGGGCAAUAUUUAUAGUCUAAAGUAGGGUCCAUCGCUGCGGAAACAACAGUGACGGUUGUGGCAGUGAGUGAUUUUGAGAAGAUCAUUGGAAUGAGUCGUUUCCAUGUCUCAGUCAUUACAACAGAUUUUCUCGUUGUAUUGCAUCAGUUUCAUGAGUUUUGUGAUGUGUAGGUUUCAGACCAUAUUAAAAGCUUAUGAACUUAUUUGAUCUUGUAGGUUUAUUUAUUUAUUAUUUAUUUUUAACUUAACUCGAUUUUAUUUUAUGGGAUUAUAAGAAUAAAAAAUUUAAUUUAGGUUGAGCUUCGAUAAAAUUUAGGGAUUUUAAGAUUUUCUCGUUGUAUUUUUCAUGGUAGUCGAUAUGUACGCAUUGUUUUAAACCUAACAUUUUUUUUAUCUUAAAACAUUUAAAAAUAAAUUUAAUCUUAAAAUAUAAAUUAUUAAAUUAAGUUAUUAAUCUAAUUAAUAAUUUUAAAAUUUAUAUUUGCAUGUGUGUAUAAUAUAUAAUUUAUUAAAAAAUUAAAAAUUAAAUUACAAGGAUAUAUAAAUUAAAAAAUCAGUAAACUUAAAAUAAUACACUACUCUCUAUCAUAUGGAUAUAAUCAAAUUAAUCUCUUCAUUAUUAAAUAAAUUUAAAAAAUUUAAAUUAGUCUAAAUUGUAUGAAAAUUAACAUUUAUAUAAAUAUUAAAUUGAUAUAUUUAAUAAUAAAAAGAUUUUGUCCUUACAAUGCGGGCCCUCACAUUUUUGGAUAUAACGAUUUUGGUCAUGAUGAUGUUUUAGACUUUUAGUGACGCUAAUGUCAAUACAAUGACAUCAGAGUGACGACUCUAAUGAUAACGUCAUAUGGAAUACGACAUCAUACCACAUUAUUUAUUCCAUAAUUCGUAUCCAAUUUCAUACCAUAUUAUUUAUUCCAUAUUAAAUAUUUAUUUAUCCAAAUUAUUUCUAAACAUUUAUUUUAUUAAAAAAAAUUAUAAUUUCUGUAAUUUUAAAAAUAAUCACAUUAAGGGAGCCUGAUUUUUAAAAUAAUUAAAAUUUUUAAGAAAAUUUUCAAUCUCUCUUUAGAUUUUUAUGGCAUAUUUAGUAAAUCAACAACCAUUUAUAACCCUCGUUAGCUAGUUUAUGUAAUUUUUGUAAAUUUGAAAUUUGAUAUUUUUAUUUUUAAAAAUUUAUUCAUUCUAUUUUUCGCUUUUAAAAUUUUAGGUUCAAUUGUUAAUAUUGUUAAAUUUAUUUUAUUAAUUUAAAGUUCAUUUUUUAGUUACACGGCUAUGAAGUCAGUAUUUUUUUAUUUCAAAAUGUCUCAUCAAUAUAUUUAACAGUGUUAACAACUAAACCUGAAUUUUAAAAUUCGAAGUGUAAUAACUCAAUUCUAAAUUUGUGAAGAGUAUAAAAACUUGUGGUAUAUUUGAAAACCAAACUUUAACGUAGCCUGCAUGGGAAUUGUUGUCCAAUUAGGGCUCCCCGUUUGAUAAACUUAAAGAAAUUAUUCAAUCAUUAACGUAGCAUGCAUGUAGUGGCGAAGCCAGAAAAAUUUUGGGGGAGCGGAAUUAAAUUCUAUUUUACGGGGGUCGAGCCCCUACCUACCCCCCUUACCUCCACCAUUACAUGCAUGGCAAUAAAAUUAAAUGGUAAAAGUAUGAUAGAAACCCUUAUAUUAAGAAAAUUAAAUGGCACUUAGUUCUUUUCUCAGUUAAAAAAGAAUUAUAGUGGUACUGCUCUUUUAUUGAAAAAUUGUAUAUAUUAAUCUAUGUAUGUUAAAUCAAAGAGUAAAUUGGUUUUUCUGUUAAAAAUUUUAUCUAUUUUUACAGUUAAAAACUUAUCAUUAUAUAUCAACAUGAGGUACACCAAGCACGACAUGUGUCAUUGUUUAAUUAUUCGGUUAAUCAUGCUUGUUUUUAAUAGUAGAAAUGGAUGAAUUUUUUAACAAAAAAAAGACUAGUUUGCUCUUUGAUUUAAUAUGUAGGAACUAAUUUAUCUAUUUUUUGAGUAGAGUGAUUAAAUACAAUCAAACGUGCAGUACAAGGAUCUCCAUGAUAUUUUUACAAGAAGCAAAACUAGAUUCGACUUGAAAAAUUGAAAAAAAAAAUUGAAUUUCGAGUUAAACGAAUCAAGUUAUUCGAGUUAACUCGAUAUUUUUUUGAAUUUUGAGUUCGAAUCUAGUUUUAUUUUCAAAUUCGAAUAACUCGAAUAAUUUGAAUAAACAAAAUAUCAAACUAUAAUAUUUUACAUUUUUACCCCAAACUCUCAAACCUCUUUACUUUCUCCAAAACAUUUUCUCUCUCCUAUUUUCUCCAAAAACUUUUACUCGUCCCAUCCCAUCCCCUUUCUACUCCCCCAUCCCCCAAAUUUUACUCCCCUUUUUACUUUCUCUCCAAAAUUUUACCCAUUCAACUCUUAAAACUUUUUAUUUUUCUCUAAACUUUUACUUCUCACCCUUUACCCUCAAAUCAAAAAUUAAAAUUAUCUAAAAAAAUUCCUUGAUUUUUUUCAACUCCAUAUUAUAUUUUUGAACUCAAUUAACUCAAAAAAUUUUUCAUUCGAUUUGAUCGAAUGUUCACUCCUAUAAUAUUAUAAUAUAAAGAGUUGAAAGAUUGAAGAUGAAACAAUAAAUAUAGAAGAAACCCAUACUUAACUCCUGAACAUUAAAACAAAAGAAAUUAGUCAUUAUCUUCUUCUUCCCCUUAUUUAUUUAUUUUAAAUUUAAUAUUAAUUCUAAGCUUAACCCCACCACCAAGAAAAGUAGCUCCUUCCAUUGAAUCAAAUUUGUAGUACCCAACAAGCAAAAUAUUCUUAAUAAAACAUCAGAUUUAAGUUUUGAUGUUUUGAGCAAAAGUUUUAAAUUGAUAUGAAAAAUUAUUAAAAUGUCAUUAAAUAACUUAAGAAUUAAAUAAAAAUAAAAUUUUAAUAUUAAAAUACUUUUUACCAAUUGAAUUCAUGAAAAUCGUGCUUGAAAAUUGGGUACGCAAUCUCGUGAAAUAUUUAAGUACGUUAUUACUUGAAAGGGACAACACUAUGAUUGAACAAAAAAUGAAGGGACCCUUUGCCAUUAAUUGGUCGAUGAAUCCACCUAAAGAGUCGAGAAUUCCGAGAAUGGCUGAACAUGUCAUCAAUUUGAUUGGAGAUGGUGGGAAAAUGUUACAUGUAGAGAAAUAAUUGUCUUCUCUGCUGUUUUGGGACUAUGACAAUUGACAACAAGAAAUUAUUGGACAAGAAGCUUGUUUAAACCAUUUGGGGGACCAGAAUUUGUAAUUUUGAUACUUAUUGAAUAAAGAAAGUUAAUUUUUUAUGCUAAAAAUGAAAAGCAAUAACUUGCUUUUAGGUGUCAACACCCGAAGAAAAUGAGAAUUUAUUUUGGCAUCACAAUCUCAUACUGAUCAAAGGCAUAACAGAAUAGGUCCCAUGAUGUACAUCCUUCACGCGUUUAUAAUAACCUACCACAUCACGCUAGCUGAUAAGAGAAUUUCUUUUAUAAAUACUCUUCCAACGAUGAAGAAGAGAUCAACAUUUUAAGCCUUUAAAGUUAUUAUGAGCAAUUACCCUCUUUGCUAGCAAUCAACUUAUCCUCUUAUUUUUUUCGACUCUCCUCCUUUUUAGGUGAAUUGACUACCACAACAACCCUUAUUGUACAAGGUACCAAUAAUUUAUAUGUGCUUCUAAUUUUAGUCCUUCAACUUUCUUAUAAGUCCCCAUCCAAGAUCUUACAUAUCCAAUUUGAACUAAAAAAAUAACAUAAUAAAACCAAUAUCAAUUCGUUAAAAUGACAUAAUAAUACACUUCUAAUAGAUUAGAUUCAGCUAAGAUUAAUUGGUUUAAUAUUCCCUAACCAAUGUUAAUUCGAGUGGAUACGUGUUCAAUAUUUUCGAAGAACAUUAAAUAGAAUUAUUAAUAUUAGUAGAGAAGGUAAUUAGAUAUUGUAGGGAAAAUAACUUUUGAAUUAAGAAAAUUAAUCUAAGAAUUUGACUAAAUUAUAAAAAAGUGAGAAGUGUUGGACCACAAUGUGAAAAUUUGAAAUAAGAAAUAACUAGAUUAAAUGAAUGAGAAAAAGAGCAAAGAAUAAUUUAACCAUGGGAGUAAAAAAUGAAUGGUUGAGGAUGGAUAGCAUUGAAGCCGUAUGUAUGGCAUGAUAAUGUAAGUUUUUUUAAAUAAUAAUAAAAGAAAAUUGUGAUAAAUAUUUUUGUGUGAAAAAGAUGUAGACAAGAUAUAAAAAAAAAAUUUAACACUUUUUUCACUCUCAUCGUCUUCAUAAGCUUUUUCUCCAUGUCUCACUCUCUCAAAGUAGCUAAGUUUUUUCUUUCUUUUCUUUUAUUUUAGUCCCUUCCUCUAUUUUCAACCUAUUUCAAGUUUUAAAGCCCCAUUUUCACCAUGGAUUUUAGUGAAUCUACACUAAAAAUUUCAUGGCAUUUUAGGUGAAACUAGUAAGAGUACAUCUUAAAAGUGAAAAAAGGUUGAGGAUCUGAGUAAGUAAGGUAAGAAAAACGAAAUUUCAUACAUUUUAUUUAAUAUACAUGAAUUUUCAUGGCAUUAUCAGUUUUUGGUGAAACUAGUAAGAGUACAUCUUCGAAGUGAAAAAAAGUUAAAGGAUAUGAGUAAGUAAGGUAAGAAAGACGAUAUUUUUCUUAAGAAAUUUCAUACAUUUCUUUUAAUAUAAUGGAUUUUCAUGGCAUUAUUAGUUUUUGGUGAAACUAGUAAGAGUACAUCUUAGAAAUGUAAAAAAGUUAGAGAUUUGAGUAAGGUAAGAAAGACGAGAUUUUUCUUAAGAAAUUUCAUAUAUGUAUAUGUAUUAUUUUAAUGAAGAGAAAGAGACGAAGAGUGAAGUUCAGAUGGGGGAUAAAGAUAAAGGAGUAGUGAAAGAGUAAAGAAGGAAGAGAAGAGUUACUCAGGCAUUUUGCUGUAAGUAUAUCAACAAUUUUACUUAUUUAAUUAAACCCUAAAUAAAAAACUUGAUAAAUUAGUUUAGUAUUAUACAUGAGAUAUAUUUACGAUUUAAUUUAUGGAAUUAUUUGAAUACAAAAUUUCAUUUUUGUUAUUACUUUUUACAUAUUAAACUCUAAAUGAAAAUCUCAAUAAAUUAAUUUAGUAUUAAGCAUGGUUGUUAUUGUAUUAUGAAAACCACGAAUUAAAUAAAAACAAAAACUUAAUAUUAAAAUGCUUUUUUGUUUUAUUAUUAUUAUUAUUAUUAUUAUUAUUAUUAUUUUCUUUUUCUGAGAUGAUUGGUUGGUAUGUUUUUAAGUUGAUAUAGAAGGGAAAGGGUAAGUCUUACAUUUUUUUGUCUUUCUCAGGCUAAUAAAAGUCAUUAGUCAACGGUACUGCCUUUAUCUUUAAGCUCAGCCUUCUUCUUCAUCUCUUACAUCUCAUACAUAAUCAGAUCCAACUCCAAUACCCAGUUCUUCCCCUGGUGAAGCUUCAACCUUUUCAACAAGGCAGCUAAGUAUCUCUAUCUGCUAUAUAUAAAUGUUUCAUCUUUAAUCCUCGAGCCCCUUUACUUUAUUUUUUUUUUUAGAAUUUUGGUGUUUUCAUGGAGAAAUACAUAGGUAAUCAAAUUUUAUAGUUGCUUGCUUCAAACUAAGUUUUAAAAAAAAACUAUAUAUAUAUAUUUAAUUGUUGAAACCAAGAAUAAAGCAGCUAUGAAAACAUUUCUAACUUCAUUGAAAACUUGAGAGUUACAAUAGAGUAUUUAAUACAAACAGAUAAUAACUAACUAUUAACUAUUUGUGUUUAACUGCUAACUAACUCUUUUAACUAACUUUAUCGAUAAAGCUACUGAUGAAAUACUCAUAACAUGCCUCGUGCUAGUUAACGUUUUUUUCCUCCUAUAACUUCAUGCUUGUAAGGAACAAUUCCUAGUUGACUUCUAUUAGAAAAUAAAGUAAGUCAGUUUCUAUUAGUAGUUAGUUUCUGUUAUGUUUAGUUAGAAGAACAGUUAAGUAACGGUUCUUGGAUUGUAUUAAAUACGUGUUUUCCUGAUUUCUAAACAAUAUACAGAAUUCUUUUCUUCAUUGCUACUGUGAAAUCCUAGCAUGGUAUCAAGAGCCAAGGUUCUCUUUGUGUAUUCAUAAAUUUUUCUAGUUUUCUCUUCCUCUUAUGGCCACCAAUGUAGUUCCAGAUGGUGUCCCUGCUGUUGAUAUGCCGCGUCACUCCUCCAAUACUAGGGAGGCUGAUCAUUCGUAAGGCAUUGGUAUUGUAUGUGCAUCGACAGUUCAAUAUUUCUCUAAACAUGACACCAUAAAACUUGCAUCGCAUAAUUUUCUUCGUUGGAAGCAUCAAAUCUUGUUGAUUCUUGAGGGCUAUGGCCUUGAAGGUUUUGUGUUAGACACUACUCCAUCCCCUCCUCCUGUUGUUCUUGGUUCAGAGGGCUAUCAAGUUGACAAUCCAGCAUUUCUUGUGCAUCGUAAGCAAGAUAAGUUUCUUGCGUCCUAGCUAUUGUCGACUGUUACAGAUGAGUUGUUAGUUCAUCUCACAAAUUCCAAAACCAGUUUUGAUAUAUGGAAUGUUAUUGAAAGGCGGUUUAGUGCUAAAUCUAAUCUCAAGAUCUCCAGCAUGUGACAUGCGUUGUAUUCCGUCAAGAAAUCAACUUUAUCUAUUAAAGACUAUGUGUCAAAGGUCAGACAGUUAAGUCAUAACUUGACUGCUGCUGGCAAUUUCAUCUCAGAGCAAGAACAAGUGAGCGUAAUUUUGGCCGGUCUUUCAGUUGAAUUUGAGUCUAUUCAAAUUUUUGCUUCCGCUACUCCUUUGUCCCUUGACCUUUUAACAGAAAUACUGCUUGACUGUGAAUCCUGACAGUUAGAAUUGGUAAUAGAAGGUUCGUGUCAAGCCAAUCUUGCAACUCGACAACAAGGCACGGAGGAUCCUUUGAAACAGUCUAGUGAUUCUUUUCAGCGACCUAAAACGGAUUAUAAAGGAUCGGGUAGAGGUUGGUCUCGUGGUCGGUCGCGUGGAAAUGGAAGGGGCUGGUCUCGUUCCAGGCCGCAGUGUCAGCUAUGCGACAAAGUGGGGCACAUGGUUCAAACAUGUUAUCACAGGUUUGAUGAAAGUUUUUCUGGUGUUGCAGGGUCAAAUUCCGCUCAAGUUAACUGUCAUCAAUUGCAUGGUUCUGAGUGUUCUUCACAUGUUCAUUCUUGCCAAACGGGGGUUCAUUGCUGUGGCUCGUAUGGUCAUUUGCCUCCUACAGCUACAUCUCCUCACAAUCUAACUUAAUUUGGUACCCUGACUCAGAUGCAACGAAUCACAUUACACCUAAGGUAUCCAAUCUCACAACAGCUUCUCCGUAUACGGGUAACAACCAUGUCACUAUGGGCAAUGGUGAGUCCGUUUCUAUUACCAGUAUAGGCUCCUCUUCUCUUUUAGCUGGGACUAGACUACUGAAGCAACAGAAUGUUUUGCAUGUUCCUGCAAUGUGCAAGAACUUGAUGUCUGUGGCAUAGUUUGCCAAAUACAACGGUGUUUAUUUUGAGUUUCACCCGAUUUUGUGUUUUGUGAAAGACAUUUAGACAAGGGUGACGUUGCUCGAGGGCCACAUAUAUGAAGGGUUAUACCGCUUUCAUCUCACCAAGUCGACACCUACUGUUGCCUCGAAGCCCAAUUCCAGUUUGUUGAAUAGUGCUGAACUUACUUUAUUUUCCUUAUGGCAUAAUAGACUCGGUCAUCCGUGUAAUACUAUUAUUGCUCAUGUCUUGAAGUCGUGUAAUAUUUCCUUCAAACAAUAUCAUUUACAACAGAUAUGUACAACUUGUGAGCUUGGGAAAGCUCAUAAACUUUUCUUUCCAGCUUCAAAAACAAUAUAUAUUUCUCCUUUUACACUUGUAGUGUCUGAUGUGUGGGGCUCUGCUAGUGUGUCUUCAAAUGGCUUUCGGUACUAUGUUUCUUUUGUUGAUACAUAUAGCAAGUAUACUUGGAUUUAUUUUCUUAAAACCAAGUCUGAAGUGGCUCAAAGCUUCCUGAAUUUCCACCGCAUGGUUACUGUUCAGUUUGGCUGCACCAUUAAGAGUCUUCAAAGCGAUGAUGGAGGAGAAUAUCGUGACUUGACUGGUACUUUAUCGAAGCUUGGUGUGCAAUAUAGGACAACUUGUCCUUAUACCUCAGAGCAGAAUGGUAUCACUGAGAGAAAACAUCGGCAAAUCGUUGAUAUGGGACUGUCCCUUUUAGCACAAUCACAUAUGCCAUUAACGUUUUGGUUUUAUGCAUUUGUACAUGCUAUUUAUUUGACUAAUCGGCUGCCUACACCUGUCUUGAAUCAGUUAAGUCCUUAUGAAAUGCUUUACAAAGUUAAGCCUGAGUAUGGCUCACUGCGGGUUUUUGGGUGUGCCUGUUUUCCUGAUCUCAGGCAUUUUCAAAAGCACAAGUUCCAAUUCCGGUCUCAACGCUGUGUGUUCUUAGAUAGUGUUCCUACUACUAAAGGGUAUUAUUUUCUUGCAGAAGAUAGUCGAGUUUUUUUGUCUCGACAUGUUAGGUUUGAUGAGACUAUGUUUCCUUUCAAUGAGGGGUUUCAAAAGGAAUCGUCUUCCAGAUGUGUGCCGAGGUGUUCGUCUCAUUCUGUUCUUCCUUUGGUUCUGGCAGCUAAUUUACCUAAUGUUUCUCAGAAUUUGCCUACUACAGCACCACCAAGAUCCAGUACAGAUAUGCAUUUUGAUGAGGGGCCUUCUUCUGAACAAUUACAACCCAUCCCUGUAUCUUCUCCUACUGGAGUUUCUGAUGUCGUGGUGGAACCUUCGAGUAAUGGUCAAUAUAAUGGGCCUGUACCAGCUCAAAUUCCUUCCGUGCCUGGAAACCAUCAUUCUAUGCAAACUCAUUCAAAGAAUGGGAUUUUCAGACCCAAGGUUUUUGCUUCUGUUAUGGAUGAGACUGAACCCACCAGCAUUCGUGAAGCAUUUCAAAGUCCUGUAUGGACAAAAGUAGCUACUGACGAGUAUGAAGCCAUGAUUGCCAAUCGUACGUGGGAUCUUGUUACCUUACCAAAGGGUCACCGUGCUAUUGGUUGAAAGUGGAUCUUCAAAAUUAAAAGACAUGUGGAUGGGUCUAUCGCCAGGUACAAGGGCAGGUUAGUUGUCAAAGGUUAUCUACAGGAAGCAGGAGUGGAUUUCCAAGAAACUUUCAGCCCUAUGGUUAAGCCAACCACAUUAAGGUUGUUCUUGCUUUGGCAGUAUCCCUUAACUGGUCUCUUCGACAGAUUGAUAUUAAUAAUACGUUUUUAAAUACAGAUCUAAGUGAGGAUAUAUACAUGUUUCAACCUCCAGGUUUUGAGCAAAGUGGAUUAAAUGGUGAAUCACUCGUCUGUAAAUUGAAGAAAGCGUUAUAUGGCCUCUAACAAGCAACCCGUGCAUGGUUUCAGAAGUUGAGAGAUGUUCUGGUGGCUACGGGGUUUAUGGUCUCAAAGACAGAUAACUCACUUUUCAUUUUACGAUCGGGUGCUCGGGUGUUGUACGUACUUGUUUACGUUGAUGACAUUAUCAUAACUGGUAGUGAUUCUCAGGCCAUUGACAGUUUUGUCACUCAACUUAAUGAUCGGUUCUCCUUAAAAGACCAAAGUAAGUUAAACUACUUCCUUGGUAUUGAGGUAGAGUACACGUCUGAAGGGAUGGUUUUGUGUCAAACUAAAUAUGUUCGAGACUUACUUCGCAAAGCCUCGAUGGAUCGAUCGAAUAGUCUUCCAACUCCAAUGGUCACCAGUUGUCAUUUGUCUGCUAGUGAAGGCAAUCCAGUCGAGGAUCAACAUUACUACUGAAGCAUUGUUGGUGCACUACAAUAUGUAGUAAUCACUAGACCUGACAUAGCUUAUUCGGUGAACAAAGUCUGUCAGUUCAUGCACAAUCCCCUGGAUGUACACUCUGCAUCUUUCUCGGAGGUAAUCCAAUUUCUUAGAGCUCUAAGAAACAGUCAGUGGUUUCCCGAUCCACGGUCGAGGCGGAGUAUCGAAGUGUUGUGCAUACAGCCGCGGAGAUGAUUUGGAUCCAGUCUUUAUUAACUGAAUUAUGUGUUCCUGUUUCACCAAAGUCCUUGAUCUGGUGUGACAGUUCUGCUGCGGUUGCGGUAGCUGUGAAUCCUGUUAUGCACUCCAAGUUCAAACAUGUAGAGUUGGAUGUUUUCUUCGUUAAAGAAAAGGUGGCAGCUGGUAUACUUCAGGUUGGCCAUGUUUCAGGGUCCUAUCAACUUGCAGAUAUCUUGACAAAGCCACUUUCAGCACCAAUUUUCAAUAAGUUUCGAAGUCAGCUUCGAGUAGUUAGUCUGAGUUAAAAGAAGUUUGAAAAGUAGUAGAGAAGUAUGAGAAAUAUUAGAAAAUAAAGUAAGUCAGUUUCUGUUAGUAGUUAGUUUCUGUUAUGUUUAGUUAGAAGAACAGUUAAGUAACGGUUCUUGGAUUGUAUUAAAUUCGUGUUUUCCUGAUUUCUAAACAAUAUACAGAAUUCUUUUCUUCAUUGCUAUUGUGUAAUCUUAGCAACUUCUAAACUUGUUGAACAACCCUGUUGAUAAUGGUUUCACCAAGAUGUCAACAAUCUGAUCUUGACUUGGCACAUGACCCACUUGAAAGGCUCCUCCUGCAACCUUCUCUCAUAAAGAACAAAUCUAAUUCAAUAUGUUUGAAUUUGGAGUGCAUGACAGGAUUCUCUGCUAUUGCAACAGUAGCUAAACUAUCACACCACACUAAUGUCUUGUUCUUAACUAGAACACAUAGCCCGGUUAACAAGGAUUGAAUCCAGACCAUUUCUGCAAUAACAUGCGCAAGACUUUUAUAUUCUGCUUCAGCUGUGGACCUGGAGACUACUUGCUAUUUUCUAGAACUCCAAGAGACUGGAUUCCCUCCAAGAAACACACAAUAGCUUGAUGUCAACCUUCAAUCAUCAAUAUCUGACCCCCAACUGGCAUCAGAGUAGCCUUCGAGCAAAAAUUUUAAAGUUCGACUGAACCUUAGCCCAUGAUCCAAAGUCCCUUGCAGACAACGCAAGAUUCUUUUGACAGCUUUAAAAUGUAAAUCCAAUAGUUUGUGCAUGAACUGGCGGACUUUUUUAACAGAGAAGGCAAUGUCUGGUCUGGUAAUCACAGCAUAUUGUAGAGUACCAGCUAUGCUCGUGUAAAAAUGUUUAUCUUCAACAGGACUGCCUACAUGAGCUGAUAAAUGACAAGUAGUUACCAUUGGUGUAGAAGAACCAUUUGACCUGUCCAUUGAGGCCCUUCUAAGUAGAUCAAAUAUGUACUUCUUUUGGCUAAGAAAAAUACCAUCUUGAGUGCAGUUGACUUCAAUGCCCAGAAAGUAACUUAGCUUUCCUAAGUCUUUAAAAGAGAACUGUACAUCGAGUUCCUUAACAAAGUGAUCUAUAGCUCAAGAGUCAAUCCCAGUGACAAUAAUGUCAUCCACAUAUACUAGAACAUAUAGCAACUGAAACCCUGAUCGAUGAAUAAAAAAAGAGUUGUCAACUUUGAUACUUCAAAUUUAGUAGCUAAGAGAAACUCUUUCAACUUGUGAAACCAAGCCCGAGGUGCUUGCUUAAGGUUAUACAAAGCCUUUAUAAACUUGCAUACCAAUUGUUGGCCAUUGUUCCCUUGCUGUUCAAAACCUGGUGGUUGCACCAUAUAAAUUUCCUUAUGCAAAUCACCAUUCAAGAAGGCAUUAUUAAUGUCCACUUGCCUGAGAGACCAACCCAAGGACAUAGCCAAUGCCAGAACCACUCUAAUUGUUAUUGGUUUGACCACGGGACUAAAUGUCUCCUGAAAGUUAAUGCUUGCCUCUUGAAGGUAACCCUUAACCACCAAUCUGCCUUUAUAUUUAGCCAUAGAGCUAUUAGCAUUUAUUUUUAUUUUAAAAAUUCAUUUGCACCCUACGGCCCUACGACUUGCAGGUAAGGGCAUAAGAUCCCAAGUGUGAUUAGAAAGUAAUACAUUAUACUCUAUUUAUACAGCUGUUGUCCAAGCAGGACUCUGAAAUGCUUUUGUAAUGAAAGUAGGCUCAUUCUCAGUUAGAACAGAGGAAAACACCUUAGGUUUGUAAAUACCACUCUUGGAUUAGGUUUGCAUAGGGUGGGAAUUUACAAAGGUAGUGAACCUUUUAGGAUUAUCAGAUUGAUUACAGGAGGUAGGCAUACAAGCUAAAGCUAAGGAUUCUACUUGUUGACUUACAGAAGAAGAGCCAUCAAUAGGAGAGUUUAUGUUAGAAGAAGCUGGACAAGAACCUGCCAUAGGAGGAAAUCUGGUUGGCCCUGAUGAAGGGGUAGAGGGAUGAGCUGGAGGGGCAAUAGCUGCAACCAUAGAAAUGUGAGACCGUUGAUGGACAGACCUGAUGGAGUCCAAGGUAGACUGUGAAGAAAAACUAUGCUGAAACGAAAACUGGGAUUCAUCAAAGAUAACAUGUAGAGAUAUAAAAAUUUGACCAUCUUCAUCAAGACACUUAUAGCCUUUUUGAUUGGUUCUAAUCCCAAGAAAGACAUAUCAUUUUGAUUAAAAUUGAAGUUUUUGUUGGUGAAAGGGCCUCAAAUAAAGGAAACAAGUACAACCAAACACAUUUAGUUGGGAAUAGGCAGGUUUAACUUUGUAAAGUUUCUUAUAAGGACUACUCUUUUGUAGAACGGGAGUAGGUAACCUAUUAAUCAAGUGAACAGCAUGAGCAAACGUAGAUGACCAAAAUUUCAAAGGUAUAAAUGCCUAAGCCAAGAGAGUCAAUCCCAUGUCAACUAUAUGUCUAUGCUUUCUUUCAGCUACACCGUUCUGUUCUGAGAUAUAAGGACACGUGACCCUAUGCUGGAUGCCAAGCCUAGAAAGCUCAUUGAACAUAGAUCAAUACUCUCCCCCCAGUCACUCUAAAGUAUUUUUAUGGAACAACUGAAUUGAACUUGUACCAUUCACUGGAAAUAAAAAAACACUUAAAAACUUCAGACUUGGUCUUAAGAAAGUACAGCUAGGUAUACUUGCUGUGCAUAUUAACAAAAGAAACAUAAUAGGAGAAACGAUUUGAUUGUACAUGUGUUGGUCCCCAAACAUCAGACACAACGAAUUCAAAAGGCAAAGAAUACACUGUUUGUGAAUAACUGAAAGGCAACUUAUGAGCUUUGCCUAAUUGACAAGCUGAACAUAUAUGAGGCAAACAAUUGUGUUUGAAAGAAACAUUACAAGCUUUUAAAACAUGAACAAUAGUGCUAUUACAAAGAUGGCCAAGCCUGUUAUGCAAUAACACUAGAGAAGGGGAAAGUUGAUCAUUUCAUAUAAGUGUUGAGCUUGACUGUUGAGCAGCAAUAGAUUUGUUGGAAUCAACCCGAGAAACAUCAAACUUGUAGAGUCUAUUAUGCAUGUGGCUCACUAGAAGAGUUUUCCUUGUCUGAAUAUCUUUCACAAAACAUAGAUAUGGGUGAAACUCAAAAUAAACUGCAUUAUCCUUUGCAAACUGACCUACAGACAACAAAUUCUUACACACAGUAGGAACAUGCAGAACAUUCUUGAGGCACAAAAUCCUAGGACCAACCAAUAAAGUAGAAGAGUUUAUGUGAGCUAUAGAAACAGAUUCACCAUUUCCCAUAAACACCUAACUUGUACUUGUAUAGGGAGAAGUAGACGUGAGGCUAGCCAUGUCAGGAGUAAUGUAGUUUGUGGCCCCAGAGUCAGGAUACCAGGUCUGAUCAUGUGGUGCAGAAGAAAAGGCUCGAUGAGGUGGCUGAUGGGAUGAAGAAGGAGGCUAUGAAAGUGAAUUACAACAGUGGGACAUAGAAGAGCAAUGAAGUGCAGGAGAGGAGUAAACUUGCCUAUUGAGUUGAUGAUAGUUGACUGUCAUCGAAUGACUAAGACCAACACCAGAAAAAUUUUCAUCAAUUUUGUAAUAACAAGUUUGAACCACAUGGCCAAUUUUUCCAUAUAAUCAGCACUGUAGUCUAGAGCGUGACCAACUCCGACCAUUACUACGAGCCCUGCCAUGAAACCAACCUUGACCUUGCCCUCUGUGUCUUUGCUUAAACUCCUGAGAAUAGCUGUUGGAGUCUGCAAUAUGUUUCGAGCUGUCAACAGUAUCAUGUUUUUGGUACGAUAUGCCAAAUUGACUUGUAAAGGAACCUCAGUCAGCAAACCAUCUGUCGUGCUUCACAACAAUAAGCAUUUCAGUCAACAAGUUAAGAGACAUAAGAGUAGCAGAGGCGAUCACACGAAUGGACUUUUUACUUUGGACAAGUACUUCUUGAUUGUAAGAUUUACUUUCUUGAGCGAGUAUAGAGCAUGGCGCAUACUCGAGAUCUUGAUAUUGGAUUUAACACCAAAUCUUCUUUCAAUGGUCGUCUAGAUUUCAAAACUAGUCUUGGCUAUUGUGAGAUGGACCAAGAUAUCAUCUGUGAUCGUAGACAGUAGCCAAGAGGCUAAAAACUUGUCUUGCUUCUUAUGAACAAGAAAUGCAGGGUUAUUAACUAACUGACCCUUGUUCCCGGUGAUAACAGGAGAAAGGACAGGAAUGGUGCCUAACACAAAUCCCUCAAGAUCGUAUCCUUCAAGAAUUAAUAAGAGUUGAUGUUUCCUUAAGAGAAAGUUGUGCUCACCAAGUUUGAUGGUGUCAUGCUUGGAGAAAUAAUGGACUGUCUGUAAAGCAACACUGCCUUGACCCUGCGAAUGAACUGCUUCCCCAGUGUUGGAAGAGUGCCGAGGCGUAUUAAUCCCAGGAACAGUUUUAGUGGCCAUGAGAAUGAAAACAAGAGAAUAGAAAAAAAAUCUCAAUUAUACCAAGAAAACCUUAGCUCUUGAUACGAUGUUGAAAUCAAGAAUAAAGCGGCUAUGAAAACAUUUCUAGCUUCAUUGAAAACUUGAGAGUUACAAUAGAGUAUUUAAUACAAGCAGAUAAUAACUAACUAUUAACUAACUGUGCUUAACUACUAACUAACUCUUUUAACUAACUUUAUCACUAAAGCUACUGAUGAAAUACUCAUAACAUUAAUGUGUAUCGUUGUUGCUUCUUGAUGCUUAUGUUCAGAUACAAAAUGGGGUUUUGUGGGUUUUUUUUUAAACAAUAGGGUUAAAUUUAUUAAGAGGGAUGUUCUUCUGCAUGGUUGAAGAUUCUAUUCAAUGAUGACGACUUGGGUGUUAUUUUCUCUUUAGUUUCAUUCCUUUUUGUUUCAGGCAAGUGGUUUUUAGGGUUUGCAGUGGUGUUUUCGAUUGAAUAAUUAAUGCAGAUGUUUUCUAUUGGUGGUUGCAUUAAUUAUUAAACUAUUUUACAAGGUUUUUUUAUAUAAUAAUCCUUUUGGCUUUUGAUUUUUGUUAUGAGAAUAGGUUUUUCUUUGGUAAAUCAAGCAACCUUAAAACUUGAUUAAUGAUGUAUUUUUCUCCAUGGAAACACCAAAAUUCUAAAAAAAAAAAAAAAGUGUAAAGGGCUGAAGGAUUAAAGAUGAAACAAUUAUAUAUAACAGAGAUACUUAGGUGCCUUGUUGGAAAGGUUGAAGCUUCACCGGCCGACGAACUAGGUAUUGGAGUUGGAUCUGAUUAUGUAAGAGAUGAAGAAGAAGGCUUAGCUUAAAGAUAAAGCCAGUACCUGGACUAAAGACUUUUAGCCUGAGAAAGACUAGAAAAUCUAAGACUUACCCUUUCCCUUCUAUACCUGUCAAUCAUCUCAGAAAAAAGAAAAAAAAAUUUAAGACAAGAAUGUUCUGAAUAUAUUAUUAAGUGAAUAUCCAUUAUGAUUAAGAGACUCUCAUAAAACAUUAUAAUUAUCUCUUUUGAUCAAUAGAUUACAUUCUCUAUUACUUUAUUCUCUUCAUCUCUUUUUCUCUUUUAUAACAAAGAGAAUAUUAUUCUGCAACUAAAACAAAACAAAAGCAAAACCUACCGUAGCAGAUCCAAACGACACUCAUCCUGAUUCCGUCCACGAACUCAAAGUCUGACCAUGGAUUCUAUCAUGGUGUUUCACUCCACAUUGGGUGGGGCCAAAGUCAAGGCUAACUCAGCACCAUAUGGAGUAGUGGGUUGUCGCAGAAGUCCUUGAUGACCCAUUGCAUUUGCACCGCCGUCGGGGAUGCAAAUGAAGUGGAUUUCUCUCUCCACAUUGGGUGGAGCCAAAGUCAAGGCUAACUCAGCACCAUAUGGAGUAGUGGGUUGUCGCAGAAGUCCUUGAUGACCCACUUCAACCCUAUAGUAGUAAGGGCGACCUUGGUCUUUCACUCUGUAUAAAGUGAAUCUAUCCCCAACCUGUAAUUUGUUAGCAGUAGCAAAACGUAACCAUGGUUUACCAGAGAGUACGGGUUUCUUGUAGGACCCCAUCCUGCGGGUUGUGCAGUCAAUUGUCCAGCGACUUGUGCCGGAUACAACCGGAAAUGUGACUUUAUGACCUCCAUUAAUGAAAGGCGGGAAAAGAUGCAGGAUGCUGGACGGGACUGCUAAGCUCUUUUUGACGUCAGUAACUGUGAGUAUCUUUGUGAAAACAAAUUCAGGCUUGGCUGCCAUGACUGAUGCUGUUUAAGCAAGGUGAUGAUUCAAUGCAAGAAGCUAAAGGGAGAUGAUUGAAGAUCCAAUGCUGUUCAACCCAUACUUAUAUUAGUCUAGAAAGUAUUGAAUGAUAAACUACAAAACUAAUCACUUUUGUUUACCUCAAGUUAUAUUUUAGUCACUUAUGUUUGAAAUGUUACGUUUUAGUCACUUACGUUAUUGUUUUAUUACGAAGUGACCACUCUACCAUUAAACUCUAUUAUCUCCCUAAUGACAGACCAACGUGGCAGUCUAAAUGGGUUUUAAAUGCCAAUUUGGAUGUCUAGUUGUUGGGAUGAAAAUAAGUUUUUAAUUAAAUAAAUUUAAUUUGGACUGCCACGUAAGACAUCUAAGUUGGCAUUUAAAACUCAUUUGGACUGCCACGUAGGAUCACCAUUAGGGAGGUAACAAAGCUUAACGGUAAAGUGACCACUUCGUAACAAAACGAUAACAUAAGUGACUAAAAUGUAAUAUUUUAAACAUAAAUAAUUAAAAUAUAAUAUUAGACAAAUAAAAGUGACUAUUUUUAUAGUUUAUUGGAACGUAAAAGUUAACUUUGGAACGUAAAAGGUGAAUCAUUCAAUGAAUCAAUGACAGCAGGUUGAAAUCCCAAAGCACGUGACAUGCAGCUGGAGUAAGGAUUUCAGAAGCAACUAUAGUUGUUAUUAUCUUCAAUAUGUCCGGUAUAAUUUUUAAUUUAUUUAAUAUUAUAAUCUAGAUAUCUUAUUUACUUUCUUUUUUUUUUUAACUUGAAUCGCCAAUUAAAACCUUAUUAACCCUUCUCUACCCAAUAUUAUAUAUAUAUGCACUCGUUGAUCAAGAGAAAAUAAGGUGUGAAUCGUCCGUCACAUUGUCCACCACACAAAUAGGCUGGACAUUGUUCUUGGAACUCGUUGGUAAAAGACGACGAAGGAAAUGUAAGAGUUUAUUCUUGAGACCGUUAUACCAUUGAUAUAGAUUCAGCUGAAUUAGGGUAAAAAUUACAGCGUUAGAUAUAAUAAUUGAUAUAGGAUAGAGGGGAACUGGUUUGAUUAUUAUUGAGAUCGGAUCACUGGUAGCGUAUAAUUGGUUAUUGAACAAAGACAGGAGACCUUGGUCAUAAAAAACUACAUUCGCAGGUAUGGAAAGGAGACUAACCUGUGUGGGUGAGGUAGUAUUUUCAAAAGCAGAGCAGCAUGGCAAUGAAAUGACAGAAACAUUAGCAACAGCAGGUAUUAAUCGUAGGGCUAUAUUCAAGGCGUAGUGGUGAAUGUUAGAUUGGUGAUUGGAAUGCUUGAUUUUCAUGUUAUAUUAACUUUUGUGUCAAUUAUAUUGUUUAACUGGAACUACUAUUCUGUUGCUUUUAAAUAGCGAAGCAAAAAAAAAAAAAAAGAGUUGGACUUUGUACUCGCCAUUCUUGGCUGGUAAUCUUUUUGUUAUUCCUUUUAGACAUUAAAUUAGUAUGGUUUUUUACUUUGUGUUGCAUUGAAUUUUUUUAAUUAAAUUAAAGAGUAAAUUUGAAAAUUAAAAUAUAUUUCAAACUCUUUAUAAAUUUAUUUUUAAGAACUUGGCCUUUCUUACUUUCUUUUUUUUUUAAAUUUAAAUAUUUAAGAUCAAUUGUUAAUAUUAUUAAUUUUUUUGAUUAAAUUUACUAGAGUGUCAUUUUAAAAUUUUUAUAAAAAAAAAUACUUACAUGGUAACCAAGUAACAAAAAAUAUAUAUUACAAUGAACUGAGUUUAAUAGAUAAUUUUAAUGGUGUUAACAACACUUAAAAAUUGUAUCAUCAUUUUAAUCAAAAUAAAGCAUUUUGGGCUAAUCAAUUAUAUUGUAAAAGUUGAGGCACUAAAUUAUGUUGAUAAGCACAUAAUUUCUCAACUUAUAUGUGAUAUUUCUCCUCUUGAUUUAUGCCAUUUAUGUUAUUAAAUAUAUUAUUUAUACUUAUAUUUUAUUUAUUAUUGAUUUAUGGAAUAAAUGGAGAAAAAAAAUUAAAAGUUCAGUUUUUGCAAAUGGGACUUUCAACAAAAAAAUUUUUUAGUAUUUUAGCCAUAAUUUGAGCUACAAAACUCUAUUUUGAACUCAUAAUAUAUCUAUUAAAAGGGAAUUAAAACAUCUCACUAAAAAUUUUUUCAGGACUCAAGUCUAAACAACUGUAAGAAUGUAACACCCCCAACCCGUAUCCGUUGCCGGAACCGGGUUACGAAGCAUUACCGGACAUAUCGGAUAACUCAUCACUAAUUCACAAAUAAAUAACAUACAUAGCAUACUUUAAUCAAUACAUUACCUAGAUACAUGCCACAAUAUCAAAAGAAAUGCACAUCACUAAAAUUUAUAUGAGGUCGGGAUUGCUCUGGAUGCUGGACCAGACACUGACUUUUUACUAACCUGCGCACGGAAACAAUUCGUACUCAGUGGUAUUACCAUAAUUCAAAUUAUAAUAGAAAUAAAGAAUUAUAAUUACCAAGCAUGUAACUAUCCAAUUUCUUAAAUAUCAAUUAAUUCAUAAAUUUUCAUUACUUGACAAUAACAAUACAACAUUAAGCUAUUCUUCAAUCUCAAUCACAUAUCACAAUUUUAAAUUUUCUCAUAUUCAAUACGGCAAUCAAUCAAAUUCAUUUGAUUUUCUCAUUUCAAUUAUUCACCCUAUUAACAAUCUGGACUUUGACGGAUACACGGAUUCCAACCCAAACACACCAGUACGGCACAUUGUGCCUAAAACGAUACAUAGUACCUAAUCAGUAAACGACACAUAAGCGCCUGAAAUAUGACACAUAAAGUGCCUGAUCGGCAAAGCCGAUAAAUCCCCUACUCUUCCAAAUCCUAUGGCAUGGCAACUAUAUCUGACUUAGCCCGACUAGUUAAUAAGGUAUUCAAAUUCUCAAUUCACUUUCAUUUCCAAUUCAAGAUCACUUUUCCACUUUCUAAUCAAUUAACAAUUUAAUAUCAAUACAUAUUUCAAAUAAUCACAUAUAAUCAUAUUUCGAUUCAAUUCAAACCAAUGCACAAUUCACAUAUUCACACAUAUUCAUAAAUUAAUUCACUUUAUUUAAUUCAUAUUUUAAAUUCAUUUUCCAACCAAAUUCAAAUCACUAAUUACUUUUCCGUCAAUAUUCAUUUCAACUACUCACAUACUUCCGUCAUUUAAUUCAAUUUGAUUCAAUUCAAAUCACUAUUAUCAUUUCAAUUGCUUACCUAAUUUUACUUACCAUGCAUUUGAAUUUAAAAUAUAAUAAUUAAUAAUAAAUAGAUUUGAAUUAUAGUAAUACAAACCGAAAUUCUCUUCGAAUUUAAUCCUCGACGAUCUUUUCUUUUCCUUUUUGGGCCAAUACUUCAGGCUCGAUAUUAGCUACGAACAAUUAAGAUAAUUUCACAAUCAUUAGCACAAAACAAUUUAAUUGCCGAAAUUUUUAUCUAUCUUUUACUUUAAUUCUAAUUUAAUCCUAACUAACCUAUAUAUUUUUCUUUCUCAAUUCAUACCUUUUUACUACUCAAUUUCCUACCAAACUCACAUUUAACUAUAUAUUUUGAUAAUUUUGAAUUUAUUUCAAUUUAAUCCCUAAAAUUCAAAACUUAUAUUUUAGUUUACAAUUCAAUUCUUUAUUCAAUUCCAAAUAGAAUUUCUAUCAAACAAAUCCCUAAUUUAACAAUUUAUUCAACAUGAACCAUGCUAAAAAAAACUAUAACUUCCAAAACCUCAACUUAUUUUCAACAAAAUUUUGUUUUAAAACUUCUAAAACAUUUAAAUUAAAAGAAAAGGACUUGAUUAAACUUACCUUUAAAGCUUUAAAACCUUAAAACCUCAAUUUUCCCUUUUCUUUCUUUCUUUUCUUCUCUGUUUCGUUUUUCUCCCUUUGUCUUUUUGUUUUUGUUUCUUUCUUCUUCUUUUUUAUUUGCUUUUUCUAAUAAUAUAAUAUAAUAAUAUAAUAGUUUUACUUAAAUACUAAGUAAAUAUGUAAUAAUUACUAAUAUAUGUACUUCAUUUUUCCACAUGUCAUCAUAUGCACCAUACAUUUGUCAACAAUUUUGUUUAUUUAAAAUAUAAUAACAAUAUAAUUAAUAUAAUUUACAAUAAAAUAAUAGCAUACUUUUAAAAAAAAUAUAAGAUUUUUAUCAUGCAUGUGCCGACUCAAAUUUAGAAAAAGGCAUAAUUUCCUAUUUGGUCCUUUUAACUUUUCUUUAAUCUAUAAUUAAACUUUUAUCUCGAUUGCAAUUUAAUCUUUUCUCAUAAUUAACCUCAAUUUAGAUAAAUUCACUUAAUUAAAACCUAAUUAACUACACAACUAACUUUGUAAAUAUUUAUAAAAAUAUUUACGGUUCAAUUUAUAAUAUUCAGGUCUCGAUACCUCGUUUUUUUGACCCAAUUUACCUAAUAAUUUCUUUUAAAUCAUAAAAUUCACUAAUUCAAAAAUAUUUCUAAAAUUACGCUUAACUUAUAAUUAUUAAUUAAUAAUUUUUUUUCUAACUUUUUUAUCGAGUUUAAUGAUCUCAAAUUACUAUUCUGACACUACUGAAAAUUGAGCUGUUACAAAGAAUGCAUCCAAAAUUAAUAUAAAAGUUUGACGCGGACAUUAUCAAAAAAAAUCUAGAAAAAUUAUAAUUUAUGUAAUGACAAAAAGAAAAUGUUUAAUAAAAGAAGAAAGCAAGUAAAACUACUCUGGUGACAAUGAAACUAGGAAAAGUUUUUUUUUAUAUUAUAUAAAUAAUAGUAGAAAUAAUUGUAAAGCAAUAAGAAAGAAAAAUAAGAAUCUACAGAUUUUAUGUGAAAAACUCUUAUUGAGAAAAAUGACGAGCAGAGGAAUGUUGAAACACACAUUAUACAAGAGAAGUUCGACUGGAGAGUUAAAUAAGCCUGUUAUAAUCAAUAUCUACUGAGUCUAACUCCCUCCAUAUUGAGUUGUCCAAGAGACAACUCCAAGCUAACUCCUUGAUGAUGAUGAGUAAUAACAUGUUCAUCAGCGGUACUGCCACUGCCAUAGGCCAUUGGAUUAAUUUAUGCUAAGAAGUCGAUUUCUCUCCCCAGUUUAACCGCAGGGUAGGAAGAACCAUCUUCAACUUGCACUUGGUACAUGGUGAAUCUAUCACCAACAUUUAAGUUGUUUAAAAAAAAAAAAUUUCUCUCCAUCCUCUAGCUGAGAAAACGGGUCUGGCUUUUUACUGAAUUGAAGGUUUGAAUUUAAAAAUAAGUGCAAGGGUAGGUGUUCACGUGUCAGCACCCCAUGCGAUUAUAAUACGCGUAUUUGUUUGUUAGGUUUCGCAGCUGUCUCUUGGACAUAAGCUUAAUUUUGUUUUUCUUUGGUUUGAUAGAAAAAGUUAAAUAUGACUUUGAUUGAAUUGAUAAUUUAUUUGUUGACUUUGAUUGUCUGGUUUUAAAAAUAAUCAUAAAAUUUUAUAGAAAAUUAUUUAAAAUUUAUUAAAAUUAAAUGGGAAAUUAUUUUCCUGAAAUUAUUAAAAAUUAUUUUAAAAAAAUAACAUUUAAAAUGAACUUGGACAAAUUAAUUGUCUAAAUUCAAAUGAGCCCAGACACCUAGUUAUCUAGGUUUAUUCUAAAAUUAUUUUUAAAUAAUUAUACAAAAUAUCUAAAAAUUAUUAAAAAUUAUAAUAAAUUAAUAUAAAAAGACCCAUCAACUUAUUAACCAAAUUACUAAAAAUUAUAAUUUGGUAAAAAAAAUAUAUGUGUUGAAACCAUUUUUGAAAAAUAAAAAUUUUAGGUUGUCGACUUUAAAAAAACAAAACAAAUGGGAGUCGCCACCAAUCUUUUAUUGUGGUGUGAUUGGAUCACCUAAAAUGAUUUUGGUCUACGAAUUUUAGAAAAAACAAGACCGGGAGUCAAUUACGUACGAGGAAGGAUUAGCACCAUCGUAACGCCCAAAAUCAGUACCUAAUUAAUUAAUUAGUGUCUUAAGGUCGAAAAUAUAAUCUUUAAAAACUUAAAACGUUACGUAUUAAGACCCUUCUCAAUUCAGAGAAGCAAAAAUGCCACAACCAAUGCGUUAGGGCACAACAUUCUAAUUUCCUCCAAAAUGAAUUAGGUCAGAAUACUCGCAUAAUAAAAAAAUUAAAAGAAUAUCCAUUUAUCCAAGAUUUAAGAAAUCGCGGCCCAAUACGUUAGGGCACAAUUCCUUUAAAAUCCCAAACUCGGAAUAUUUCCUUUAUUGUUUUUAGAAAAAAUCUUCAUUUUGAGAUAUUAAUGCGUCACAUCCAAUACGUUAGGACACAAUGUGUUGAAUUCCCAAUAAUGAGCUCUUAUUUUUUGAUUAAAGAGAAAUACUCAAUUGUUAGAUUUAACGGAAAAAAUCGGAACCCAAUGCGUUAGGGCUCAAUUUCCUUGAAAAUCCUAAAUACGAACAUUAUCUCAAUUUUAAAAAAUUUUAUAUUUUUAAAUUUGAGUAAAAAAAAUGAUGUAACGUUAUAUUAUAUGUACAAAUGUUAUGAUGAUAAAUACAACAAUAUAAAUAUAUCAAUGACAUAAAAAAAAUAAUAUAAACAAAUGAAUGGACGAAAUAAAAACAAUAAUCCAUGACAUGCAAAAUAUUAGAUGUAAACACAAUUAUACGAUGAAUGAGGAAAAACAAACAAAAUAAAUAAAGAUCAGAAGACAUAUAAUAUACACAUGGAAGUUAUGAAAAUUAAAAAUAUAAAUAUAAUUUACAAAUAAAAUUUUGGGAUAUAGAAUUUAUACAUAUAUAUAAUACAUAAUAUACUUAUGAAAAUAAAGAAAAAUAUAAUUAUACGUACAUAUAUAAAAUAAUAAAAAAGGCGUGUAUUUUAAAAGGAAAAGUGAGUAUUUAAUCAUUUUAAAAAUCAUAAAUAUAUACAUAUAAAGAUGAAAAUAUUCAUUUAAAAAUAUAUAGGAAAAAUAUUCGUUAAAAAUAAAUAUAUACACAUACAUAUAAAAGGAAUAUAUAUAGAUAAAAAACAAUUAAAUAAUGAAUACAUUAAAAUAUAUAUAUACGUACAUAUAUAUGUAUAAAUGUGAGAAAAAUAUAAGUUAAAAAAAUAAGUGCAUAAAAAUAUACAUGUAUAGAUUUUAAAAAAAUAAAAAUAAUGAUUACGUUAUUAAUUAAUAAAAUAAAUGAAAAGAACAAAAAAGAAGAACUAAAUUGAAUUGCAAAUAAAAAAACUGGGAUAAAUCCGUAAAUAAAUAAAAGUAAAAGGAUUAAUUUGAACGCGCGAAUUACAUAGAGGGGCUGGAAGGGAAAUUUUCCCUUCUCCUCUAAAACGACGCUGUUCAACUUAGAUCCAAUUGAAAUAAAAAUAAAUAAAAGGGUAAAUUAAGGGGGAAAAACUUAAUAAUAAAAGGGUAAAUAAAAGGCUUCGAUUAAAAGGUGGGCAGAGGAUGUUUGACAGAUCUCCAAUCUCUUCUUGACGUCGGUGCAGGUUUAACCUUUCUAAAAAAAAAAAAAAAUUCAUUAAUAAUAAAAUUAUAUUUUAUUAAACCUAAUAAAAUUAAAGAUAAUACUAUUAUGGACUUUAACUUAAGUUUCCAAUUCACAUUAAAAAUCUAUAAGUUAUUAGUGCUUGAAUUUAACAAUUAUUUUUUACAUUAAAAUCUAAAUUUUAGAGUUUUUAUGGGUUAGUUUAUAGAAAUAACACAUAUAUAUUUUAAGGAUAUUUUUAUAAGAAAAACCCUAAACAUAGGAAGAAUUAUCAAGUUAAAGACUUAAUUUGAAUAAAAAAUUAAACCCAAUAGAAAAUAAUUAUCUAGUUUAAAUUGAAGAAAAAAUAAAACCCAAUAAAUUUUUAUUUUUCAAUAAUUGAACUCAAAAUAAUAAUAAUAAAUCAAUCUACGAGAGUUGAAAAUGACAUAACAUUCAUAAAGUGGUAGUUUACAGAUGCAUAAGCCAUACACAUGAUCGUGUCAACGACUCACCCAAAUACGCGUGUCUACUUGACCAUAUAUGGUAUUAAUACUUCUGAGAAGACCACAUGCAAGAAUAUCAGGCGAAUUGAGUUUUAAAGUAAAACAUAAUUUAAUAAAAAAUAUUAACAAAUUUAACCUUCGAAAUUUACAUAUUUUAUCAAUUUAAUUUUAAUAUAAUAAAUUUAUUAACAAUAUUUAUACGAAUUGGUUGAAUUUUUUAAAUUUUUAGAAUUAAGAGUAAAAUGAUAAAAUAUAUAAACAUUGAAUGCUAAAUUCGUAUAAAUUGUUAUUGAUCUCAUCUGAUUUCAUUUCAUUUCUAGUCUACUUUAAAAAACAUUUAUCAUAUAUCAUUUUAAUCUAAUGUCUUUAAUAGUCAUUUUCCAUUUUCACCUUACUAACUUACUGUUACAGCUGCUUUUGAAUCCAAACACAUACUCUACCAUUAUUUCUAAUCCCACUGUUAUAAUAGCUAAUCUCACGAUCACCACUAUUUUUAACCUCACUUGAGCUAAGUGCACCGCCUAUCCAAACUAAACCUUAGUAAAAGAGUACCUUUGAUUAUAUCUGUUCUUUCUUAAACAGAAAUGCUUAAAUUUAUCCAUAGUCCCUCCCAACCCAUAAAUAGAAGGAUAAUGAGUUUUAGCGCACUCGAACUUACGUCCUUUUGCAUUGACAAUAAUGCCACUGCCACUUAAGUUAAGACUCAAUCGACAAAGUUAAAUUAAAAAAAGAGUACUUUCAAAAUCUCCAUUUUAGAUAUAAUGCUAAAAAUUUUAAAAACUAAAUUAAUUUAUAUGAUAUUUGAAUAAUUAUAUAUUAAAUAUAUUAAAUAAUUAAUAUAAAUUAUUUAUAAAAUUAACAAUACAUUAAAUAUUUUAAAAUUUUAAAAAUAAUGAUAAAUGAUAUUUGAAUAAUUUAAUAUAAUAAUAUUUGUAAUUGAUAUUUAAAUAAUUUGAUAUAAAUAUAAUUAAUAUAAAAUUUUAAAAAAUUUUAAAUAAUUAAUAUAAAUAAAAAUAUGGUACUGUACAUACUUUUGACAAGGAGAAAACAGAACAUGUGAGAUUGUCAGCCGAAUUUACACAUAAAAACACUCGACGGUUUGCCUGCCUAUGGUCCUCCCCGCUAUUAAGGCUUCCUUGGAUUCCAAUUUUGCCAUGGUGUGAGAUGAAAUAUUAGGGAAUAAUGCUUUUUCAUUGCACUGGUUUUUUUUGUUUGGAUGCCAUAUAAUGAGGUGCGUUUCAGUAUUCUAAUCUCAGGGGAAGCUCUUAUUUUCCACUGAAGAAUAAUGGUUCGGUGAAAUAAAAGUUGAUCGUUAUAGUUGCGUUUAAAUUUAAACACACACUCUACCGCGCUGCCUAUCCAAACUAAGUGUAAGCAUAAGAAUAUAUUUGAUCAUAAAAAUAUACAUGUAUAGAUUUUAAAAAAAUAAAAAUAAUGAUUCGGUUAUUAAUUAAUAAAAUAAAUGAAAAGAACAAAAAAGAAGAACUAAAUUGAAUUGCAAAUAAAAAACUGGGAUAAAUCCGUAAAUAAAUAAAAGUAAAAGGAUUAAUUUGAAAGCGCGAAUUACAUAGAGGGGUUGGAAGGGAAAUUUUCCCUUCUCCUCUAAAACGACGCCGUUCAACUUAGACCCAAUUGAAAUAAAAAUAAAUAAAAGGGUAAAUUAAGGGGGAAAAAACUUAAUUAUAAAAACAUUAAAAGGAUGAGGGGCUGAAAAUGCAAUUUGCCCAUCCAAAUAAAACGCGCGGAUCCCACCCCCUUUCAAACGGUGCCGUUUUGAUUGGCCUAUUUAAGCCAAAUUUCAAUAAAAAAAUUUCAUUUCUUCAUUCUUCAAAAAAAAAAAACUUAAAAGAAUUCUCUCCAAUUCUCUCAUUUUAUUGAUUCUCUCCUCUCCUCUACAAUGAAGGGAGAGGUCUCUAUUUAUAGCUGAGUCUCCCCAAAUCCAACGGUACAGAUCAAUUACAUCAACGGCUAAGAUUAAAGGGUAUCUAAAAAUUAAAUCUCUAAGAUUAUAAAAUCAUAUCUUCUAAGAUUGUAUAUAUCAUAUCUAAGAUUGUAUAUCCUCGAAAAUUAUGUUUCCAAAUAAUAUUAGAACCAACUUGCUUUAAAUAAUUAACUUUACUUUCCCAUCCAGCAUAUUACAAAUGAACUUGAAAAUGAAGGUAUCGUGAUAAUUUACAAAUCCAUGCAUGUGAAUAUAUAAUAAGUGACAAAAAGAGAACAGGCGAUAUAAUAUUGUCGGGCCAAUAAUGGUCCACUGGCGUCCGCGAAAUAAAAGUUAUCGCUAUAGUAGGUUUAAAUUUAAACAUACAUUCUACCGUGUCACCCAUCCAAAUUAAGUUUUGAAAUUUUUUAUAUUUUUUUUAAAUUUUCAGAAUCCAACCAAAUUGAAAAAAAUGUAUAAUCGAUGAGGAUUAAAUAUAUUAAUUUUUAAAAAAUAGAAUUAAAUUAAUAAAUUAUAUAAAUUAAUUACAAUCAUUUUCCAGUCGGUGAUCAAAUCAUGGGGAACUCUACUCGUCACACCCCCGUUAUAAUUGUCUUCUUAACUUACCAUUCCUAACCAAUUGAAUACACUGAGUGUGAGUCAUACUAAACAACCUAACCUUUUGUUCAAUUGUUUCAACCAACCAACCUCAUAUAAUUCUUACAUCAUCGAUUAUGUCACAUACCACAAGGUAAUACAUACAUUCGAUUAUAUCAUGAUAUUUCACUAAUUUUAAAACUUAUAUUUUAUUAAAUAUUUUAAUGCAGUCUGUUUAAUAAAUACUUAACCAAAUUAUAAAAAAGAUUGCGUUUAUAAUUUAUUUCUUAACUUGAAAAUAAACUAAUUUUUUUUAUCAUAAGUAUAUGCGAGUGCAAACUACAGAUUUAAAACAUAAAUGUGUGGUUAAAAAUAACAUAUACUAAUUGAUGAAACGUAAGGUUUGAAAUUAAUGAUAACAAUAUAUAUACAAUAUGUACGGAAUUAAAAUAAUAAAAAAAGUUGAACUUGUGAGUAAAAGAAAAUUGAAAUAGGUAAAUAUAUCAUGUCGAAACCGUUUUUUUGAAAACAAAAAUUUAGUUGUCGACUUUAAGAAUAAAACUGGAGUCGCCACCGAUCCUUUAUUAGGGUGUGAUCGGCUCACCUUAAAAAUUAUUUUGGCCUACGAAUUUUGAGAAAAUGAGUUCGGGAGUCAGUUACGCACGAGGAAGGGUUAGCACCCUCGUAAUGCUCAAAAUCGGUACCAAAUUGAUUAUUUGAUGUCUUAGUGUCGAAGGUUUAAAAAAGAUUUUAAAAUCAACUCAAACGAUGGAAUUUGAAAAUGGAUAAUCAAUUGCUCAAGUCAUGUAAAGAAAUCGAGUCCCAAUACGUUAGGGUACAAUUCUUCAUAAUCCCCGAACUUUGAAUAUCACUUUUAUUUUAUGUGAAAAUCUUCAUUUUGAGAAAGUAACAUGCCACACCCAAUGCGUUAGGACACAACAAGUUAAGUUCCCAAAAAUGAUUUUUAUACUCAUGCAUUUUGAAUAAAGAAUAUUCUUGGUUAUUUAAGAUUAACAAAGAAAAUCGGAACCCAAUACGUUAAGGCUCAAUUUCCUCGAAAAUUCCAAACUUCGAAUAUUAUUUUUAUUCAAAAUAAACCCUGAAUCAAGAAAAAAUGAUUUUGAUAUAUCGAAAAAACCAAGAUUUAUUUUCCAAAGGGUAUGUUAAAAAUUAAUGCACAAUAUGAAACAAAUAUUUUAAUUUAAAAUAUAUAUGUACACGUAUUUACAAAAUAUGUAAACACAAGCACAAUAUACAAGUAAAUUUGAAAAUAUGUGUAUGCAUAUAUUUAACACACAUAUACAAGUAUACGUAUGUAAAAAAACAUGUACAACAGAACUUAUAAUAAUCUCCAAAAAUAUGUAUGUAGAUUUCAAAGAAAAUACAUAUAUGUACAAAAAUAAGGAAAAUACAUAUGUAUUGCAAAAUAUAAGUGUACAUACAUAUAUACUUAUUUAUAAGAACUACGAAAACAAAGAAGGAAAUAUAUAUAUAUAUAAACUAUGCGUGUAUUAAAAUAUGUAUAUAUAUAUGUACACAAAAUUAUGAAAAUAAGAUAAAAAAUAAAAGUAUGUAUAUAUGUAUAUAUUUACAAAAUAAAAAAUGUAUAAAUAUAUAUAUGAAAUAUAAAGUAUAUGGAAGUUUAAAAAUAAAAACUAUAUAUAUAAAAAGAAAUUAAAAAACGUAUGAAUAAAAUAUAUGCAUGUAUUUAUAAAAGCUUAAACUGUAUAUAUAUAUUAAAUAUAUAUAAAAUAUAUAUUAUAUAUAUUAUAUAUAAAAUAUGCGUAUGUAUAUGUAUAGAAAAUAUAAUAAUAAUGAUAGUAAAUAAUAUAACAAUAAUAAUACAAUGCCAAAGAACUACAAAAAAUCGAUUAAGGAUCUAAUUGAAAAGUAAACAGAGUUUAAGGGUCGCAUUUAAAGAUAGAAAACACAAGGAAGGACCAAAUCAAAACGCACGCAACAGGAGGGGGAUCCAAAGGGAAAUUAACCCAAACUCCGCAAGCACUGCGUUUUUAAAGGACUAAAAUAUAACAAAAAUAAAGCAUGCGGCCCAAAUUUAAAUGAAACAAAGAAAUUGAUUUAGAUACGUUUUUAAAAAUCUAGGGACCAAACGCACAAAUAGACCACUAAAAGAAAAAGACGCGGAUCCUGAGAAAACGGGUCGGGUCGUCGGGUUUCUGCCUAUACGACGUCGUUUUGAGGCCAUUGAAGCAAGCCCUAAACGACGUCGUUUCAUAACCCUUAUAAAUGCCAAAUUUUCCUUAAAAAAAUUCAUUUUCCUCUUUGAUUCAAAAAAAAUAACAGAGAAGCUCUGCUAGGGUUCCUCUUUUAUGCCGCCGCCGCCAAUCGAGGCAUACCACGGCCUCCGUCGACACCCCGGUCUCCGAUCGCGAGGGAGAGGGGCGCCAACUCAGCGAUUCCGACGAAAAAAGGUAUGUUCGUCCCUUUUCUUUAUAUUUUAAACAAAAAUAAAUAAAAAUAAAAAGAAACUAUAUAAAAAAAAUAAGAUAUAUGUAUAUAUGAAAAAAAAUAAAAGAAUGAUAAUCCCCACCCAGUUUUACACUGAAAAUAUUGGCCUUUUAUAGCCGAAAAUAAUAACGAAAAAUAUAAAAAAAAUACAAAUCCCCUAUUUUUCGUUAUUUUGCUGUUGUCGUUGGUUGUUUGUUGCUGCAGGUACGGCCAGUCAACGUCGAGGCAAACGUGCGCGAAGUGCGCGGGGCUACUGUUGGGAUGUGCGGCGACUGCGGGCAAAUGCUGUUAGGGUUUCUGAAAUUUUAAUGUUUGGGCUAGGUUAAUUUAGGUUUUGGGCUGUUAAUUGGGCCUGUUUAUUGGUUUGGGCCCGGGCAUAUUUGGGCUUGUACAUAUCAUAUUAAAAAUAUUAAUUGCAUUAUAAUUUUUUAUCAUGUUAUUGUCAUUUUUCUAUAACACGUUAAAAAGAGAUCAAGUCAGUAAAAAGAAAACUCAAUAUUAAAAUUAUAUUUAAAAAAAAUUAAAUAUAAAGUUGACUUAUAAAAUGAACGCAAUCAAUGAAAUUAUCUCUAUACACAUAUUUGGUAAGAACAAACAUUAUAUAUACAUUUUUUAAGUUUACCGAAGAAAAAAUAAAUUUGAACCUUUGUCUUUGUCUAAAAAUAGUAACUUCAUGUGUUGUAAAGAAGAAUUGCACGUGUGCAUAAAAAUUAUAUUCGCGAUGUAAAAAAAAGUGCACGUGCUUAUGAAAAAUUAAACAAAUAGCGCCGUCUGUGGGAAUCGAACCCGCGACCACGUGGUUAAAAGCCACGCGCUCUACCGGCUGAGCUAAGACGGCUACUGCAGUGGUCUCCUUAAAUUUGAUAAUAAUUUCAAAACAAUUGUUGAAUAGUUCUCAUACCGUAAUUACAGACUUGCAGUCUCGUCUCCGGUAGAUAUGUCGCAUAUUUGUUUAAAUUUUUUUUGAAAAUUGGUAAGUGAGAAUAAAGGUUAAUCAUUCAUCGCUGUCACUGCCAUUCUAAUUAAUGCAAAAUAUGUUAUUGAUAUUUCCCUUUCGAUGUAAAAUACACACAACAUUGACUUUGAUGACUACAUACAAAAUGAUGAAGAAGAAGAAUGAAAAAAAAGGGGUGAGUUUCACUUUUCAAGUUAACCUCACUCUUGAUCUUCAAGUUCCUGUUUUGAACCACUGAUCUGUCUCCAAAAGAAGCCUAAGCUGCUACCCAUUAUAUUCAUAAUCACUGCCGACAUGGCAGGCGGUAACGCUACAACUGGAGAAGUGAAAUGAGUUGUUGCCAACACCACUCCUAAUGAAGAAUUUUGCAUGCCAACCUGAGUGGGAGAUUUCAUCAAACACAUGUCAUGCAAUAUACGAAAAGUUCAUAACGGAUUUGGUAUAAAGCUCGGAGAUGCAUACCUCGAUUGAUAUUGCUCGCCGCUCUGCUUCUCGGAAUCUACAAAUGGUUGCUGAUAUGUACCUGCAAAUGGUGAAGUCGAGUCGUUCCUUAGUUUCGUUGGAAGUUUGUACCGAGUGUAAUAAAAACGAGGAGCAAGUUAGUGAUUCUCACCCUACAAAGAAACCAGUAAAAUGUAGCAACAUCACGGAAAGUAUUACGGCACCGACGCCUCCAGAUAAUAAUGAUUGGAGGCGUGAGACUAAAGAGGCAUCGGAAACCAAUGAUGCAUUACCUAUUGAGGAAUUAAAACGGACGACAUUUCCCGAGAAAACACUGGCAAGGAAUCCCAGAAACCGAAAGUCAGAGGGAAUCAAUGGAAGGUAAAAACUAAAACCAGUGAGUAUCCAAUAGAUAAAUUUCGAUGACCGAAUAACCUGCAUGCAAGUAGCGAUGAAAGUAAAACGGCAAAUAAAGGAGCAAAUGGUGUAAUCAUUUUCACCACCAAAGGAAAUGUGCUUUGUAGGUAAGAACCGAGCAAAACCGGAGCCACUACCACCUGGAACAAAACAUAAUCAAAUGAUAAAACAUAUGGCAAUGGCAUACAUCUUGACAUGUUGAAGAUCGCAUGAGGCAGAGCCACAUCGACAUAGACAAAACAUGAUCGAAUGAUAAACAUAUGGCAAUGGCAUACGUCUCCAAGUCGAAGAUCGCAUGAGGCAAAGCAUAGAAUUGGCGAAACCUGCAGGGUGCUGAUGGAAAGUCCAAUAGCAUCAAUAGAAACAUAUGUUCCUGCUAGAACCAUAGUCAAAAGAGGUGUAAGGAUCACUGCACCAAGAGUAGUGCAAACCGUCAUCACCGUCGACAACGAAACGUCUCCUCGUGCAAUAAAGGUCACCUGAAACAUUUUUUCAGCAAAUAAAAAUAAGGGUAACUUUGAAUAAACGAAUCAAAUGGGUAAAAAUACCAUUGAAGCCCGAAUACUCGAAGUUAGAUUGUAUUUUACCCAUCUACUCAUAAAAUGGGAAAAAUAAUCCUCGAAGAGCAAAUUGGUCCUUAAUCCUUAUGUUAAAAUUUCAUCCAUUUGUAACUGAGAUUACUUUGCAAUUUUUUGAGUAGAGAGACAAAAUACAAUCUGACUUAGGGUCUCCAUGGUACUUUUACCGAAUCAAUGUCUAUACCAACAAGAAAAAGCAUCCUCAAAAUGCAAAGUUUAUGCAGAAAAAAGGACUUGAAAUGCGAAAGGAAACCCUUACCACAGUGGAUGCAGCACCACCAGGACAACAACCUAGCAAAAUCAAACCAACAGAAAGAGAUGGUGAAAGCCCCAAAGUUUUGCUAAUAAUCAUAGCAAAAGUUGGCAUAAUUGUGUACUGAGCAACACAUCCAAAUAGAAUCUGAUCAAAGUAGGUGAAAAAAGAACUGUUCAUAGGCAAAAACUCAAGCAAAAUCACUUUAUAGGCAAGCCCAAAUUCAAGCAAAAUCAACUCAAAUUGAAAUUUGAAGAGUAACCCAUUUCUGAAAAAUUCAAAUUACAAGUGGGAAAAAAAAAACUCACAGAAAGAGGUCUUUGGGUGAACAAAUUGAGCAAGUCCUUGAGUUCUAAAGUGAGACCCAUAGCCAACAUAAUCAACCCAAGCGAGAAGCUAUAUGAAGAAGGUCCUCUCUCCACGAACCAAGCAAAAGCAGAUGGUUUAAAACAAGCCACAACGCCACCAACAGUCACAUACAAAGGGUACAAGCUAGCAGCAGUGGAUAACAUGUUCUCCCAUCUGGGUUUUGCUUGAGUGACCGAUAAGUGUUCAGAAUUAUGACUGAGAGAACUGACUAUAGGGCGGUAACUGGGUUUUGAUGGUGAAGAAACUAUGGGUUUUAAUGUGUGGGGUUUGAAGGUGAAUCUGAGAUGGGUUCGUUGUGGUGGUGAAAGGAAGAGUCUGUGAGUUAAAGUGAAGGACAUGGUGAAGAAGCUGUGUCAAAUUUCUUUGCUUUCAC
rnacentral:lncRNA from 1 species